GAUGGGCAUGCAAUGUGAUAACUUUUUUUGCCAGUCUCGCGCCUGGCCGUGCUGCCUUGGCUGGAAUCUAGGAGUACUUAUCUAGGGUCACUAAUCGCUGAUCUUAGAAGCAAAUGAGGUACUGAUUAAUUUAUUUUUCUUUCGAAAUGAGGUAGCAAUGAAAUACUUAGGAUCAAUGCUGAGAUCUUGUAUUAUGCUAAUGUUGUACUGUUACUGUUGCUGAGUAAAGGCUGCAUAGGUAGAUGCAUCGGAUGCGAUAUCCUCUGUUGCAUGAAUGCAGCCAUUUGUUGCAACUCCUUUUGCUCGGCCCUUGUUUUCUUCAGACAGUUUAUAGCAUAGUUGCCAUGUUUCCGGUACGGUUGGAACGAGGAACGGGAACGAGGGACGAGAGUCGGUGGCUGAAAAAAAUAGGAUACAACGAGGGUAUACAUCUCUCGAAUGAUUUUUUUUAUAGCGGGGACGCGAUCCAAUCCGUUUGGGUACGAUGAACCCGGUACGGUACCAUGAAUCGAGGAACACAGUUUCUGAAGAACGACGACUUUGUGACGGUCAGCAUUCCUUGCUGUUAAUGGAUCCCUUGCAAUUAAUGGACUAGAGGAAGAACGAGAAGUCCUUGAGAAAAGAAACGACGGCGUGAGUAAAUUAUGCCUUGCGUUUUUGCUGUUGGAUCCUCGAACCUGAAUCGAGGAGCCGACUGCGGAGACGCCGAAUCUUCAUCGAAUCGUACUGAAUCCGACCUCGUUCCCGAAUCCGAUUCCGGGUCGAUGAAUCAAGAUCGAGGGACGGCCUACCGUUCCCCGUUUCCGGCUACUAUGGUUUAUAGCUCUUGUGACUCCCAAGUGUACAAUCAAUCCUGUGUUCACGUGUACCAGUUUGGAUCGAUCUUCUGAGGCUGUGAUUGCCUCUAUCCAAGGAGGAGGAGCCAAGAGUCCUUGAGUGCAUGUGAGCUAUGGAUUGCUGUCUUGUCUUGUUGGUUGCUCAUGUUUUGUCCAGUACAGAACCCAACCUCGUGAUCACAGAGGCUAAUGCAAUCCCCACAGGCAGAAAAAAAGGCACACGCUGAUCCUGGGCUUUUGUAUGCUGGCUGCUAAGGUGGUGAAAAUGAACAGAACUGGCCAUUUUCGAUAGUUAAACACAAAAUGGCCUCAAUCUAAAAACAUUUCAUAAAAUGGCCUUCUUUUGCAUGACGUCCGGGACUAGGGUGUCGUGCUAAAGAGCAUGACGCCCCGGCCUAAGGCGUCAUGGUUGUGACAUGUAGCAUGGCGCCCCGGGCUAUGGUGUCAUGCUAAGCAUGACGCCAUAGCCCGAGGCGCCAUGCUAUCUAGCAUAACGCCAUAGGCCCGGGCGUCAUGCAAAAGGGCCACUUUGUGAAUUUUUUUCAGAAUGAGGCCAUUUUAUGUUGAACUUUCGAAAAAGGGCCAGUUUUGUUCAUUUCCACGCUAAGGUGCGAGACAAAAUAGACUCUACCACACAGUACAAGGGCAACUCCAAGGUGCCGACGCAUUCUGUUCCGCGCGUUCGUUUGGGUUAAAAUGCAUUACGUUCCGCGCGUCCGUUUGGGUUAAAACGAGUUAAAAGCACGGGGGUCCUAAAACUUGCUCAGGAUAGGAUGUGAUAAUUUGGUCCUAAAACUUGCAAAAUGAUCCUAAUCAGUCCUAUAACUUACACCCAAUGUGUAACUUUGGUCCUGAACCAAUCAGAGCUCGACAAACUGGAGUGCUCGGGCCCAAUCUGGUCAGCGCAUGCUUUUUUGCAAAUACCCCCUACCCUUCGUUCUAAUCAACCCGCAGGACAACCUCCUGUGUGCAGCAGAAGAUAUGGUUGUUGGGACUUGGAGAGCUUGGGUUGUCAGCUGACCUCCUGUACCAUGGAGACAAUAAACACUUUGUUAGAACCUUUAGGAUUGACAAAAUCUUCUGGUUGCAUCAUAUACAACUCUUCUUUAAGAAAUUCAUUAAGAAAUGCAAUUUUGACGUCCAUUUUCCAAAUUUCAUAAUUAUAAAAUGUGGCAUUUGCUAACAUGAUUCAGAAUGACUUAAGCAUCGCUACGGGUGAGAAGGUCUCAUCGUAGCCAAACCCUUGAACUUGUCGAAAACCUUUCGCGACAACUCGAGCUUUGUAGACAGUAACAUACCAUCAGCGUGAGUCUUCUUCUUGAAGAUCCAUUUAUUCUCUAUGGCUUGCCGAUCAUCAGGCAAGUCCACCAAAGUCCAUACUUUGUUCUCAUACAUGGAUCCUAUCUCGGAUUUGAUGGCCUCAAGCCAUCUGUCGGAAUCUGGGCUCAUCAUAGCUUCUUCAUAGUUCGUAGGUUCACCUUGGUCUAAUAACAUGACUUCCAGAACAGGAUUACCGUACCACCCUGGUGCGGAUCGUGCUCUGGUUAACCUACGAGGUUCAGUAGCAACUUGAUCUGAAGUUUCAUGAUCAUUAUCAUUUGCUUCCUCUCUAGUUGGUGUAGGCAUCACGGGAAAGGAUUUCUCUGAUGUGCUACUUUUCAAUUCGAGAGAAGGUACGAUUACCUCAUGAAGUAAUAUUUUCCUUCCACUCACUUUUUUCGAGAGAAACUCCUCUAGAAAUGUUCCAUUCUUGGCAACAAAGAUCUUGCCUUCGGAUCUGUGGUAGAAGGUGUACCCAAUUGUUUCCUUAGGGUAUCCUAUGAAGACACACUUCUCCGCUUUGGGUUCAAGCUUAUUAGGCUGAAACCUUUUGACAUAAGCAUUGCUUCCCCAAGCUUUUAAGAAAUGACAGCUUAGGUUUCUUGCCAAACAAUAGUUCAUACGAUGUCAUCUCAAUGGAUUUAGACGGUGCCCUAUGUGAAUGCGGAUGUCUCUAAUGCAUAACCCCAAAAUGAUAGUGGCAAAUUGGUAAGAGACAUCAUAGAACACACCAUAUUUAAUAAAGUAUGGUUACGACGUUCGGACACACCAUUACGCUGUGGUGUUCCAGGUGGCGUGAGUUGUGAAACUAUUCGACAUUGUUUUAUAUGAAGGCCAAACUCGUAACUCAAAUAUUUGCCUCCACGAUCAGAUCGUAGAAACUUUAUUUUCUUGUUACGAUGAUUCUCUAAUUCACUCUAAAAUUCUUUGAACUUUUCAAACGUUUCAGACUUGUGUUUCAUCAAGUAGAUAUAUCCAUACAUACUCAAAUCAUCUGUGAAGGUUAGAAAAUAAUGAUACUUGCUGCAUGCUUCAACACUCAUCGGACCGCAUACAUCGGUAUGUAUUAUUUCCAAUAAGUCAUUAGCUCGCUCCAUUGUUCCGAAGAAUGGAUUUUUAGUCAUCUUGCCUAUGAUGCAUGGUUCGCAAGUAUCAAAUAAUUCAUAAUCAAGUGAUUCCAAAAGUCCAUCUGCAUGGAGUUUCUUCAUGCGCUUUACACCAAUAUGACCUAAACGGCAGUGCUACAAGUAUGUUGCACUAUUAUUAUCAACUUUGCAUCUUUUGGCAUCAAUAUUAUGAAUAUGUGUAUCACUACAAUCAAGAUUCAAUAAACCAUUCACAUUGGUUGUAUGACCAUAGAAGGUUUUAUUCAUGUAAACAGAACAACAAUUAUUCUCCGACUUAAAUGAAUAAACAUAUUGUAAUAAACACGAUCUAAUCAUGUUCAUGCUCAACGCUAACACCAAAUAACAUUUGUUUAGGUUCAACACUAAUCCCGAAGGUAGAGGGAGUGUGCGAUGGUGAUCAUAUCAACCUUGGAAUCAUUUCCAACACAAUGAACUUAUGAAAUUAUUUGCUAACUAGAGUGUUUCUUCUGAUCCUAAUGAUGUGCCCUUGUCUACUUUGAUUGAGAAUAAUAAUUAAUCAAUGGAUGUGAAUUUUGUUGGUAGGAACAAUUUUGGUAACAACGCGUAUAGAGGAAAUUUCAAUCCUAGGCCUUACCCUAGUAAUACCUCUAAUAAUUAUGGUAAUUCCUACAACAAUUCUUAUGGAAAUUAUAAUAGGAUGCCCUCUGAUUUUGAAUCUAAUAUUAAAGAAUUUAUUUCUUCGCAAAAGAAUUUUAAUGCUAUGAUCGAAGAAAAAUUACUUAAGAUUGAUGAUUUGGCUAGGAACGUUGAUAGAAUUGCUCUUGAUGUUGAUUCUUUGAAACUUAGAUCUAUUCCACCUAAGCAUGAUAUCAAUGAGUCUCUCAAAUCCAUGAGAAUUUCCAUUGACGAGUGCAAAGAAAGAACCGCUAGAAUGCGUGCUAAGAAAGAUGCCUUUAUAAAAGCGUGUUCUUCUAGUUCCUAUGAAAAUAAUGAUGAAGAUCUAAAAGUUAUUGAUGUGUCCCCUAUUAAAUAUUUGUUUUGCAAUAUGAAUCUUGAUAAUGAUGGGAUUGAAUAUGAUCCACCUUUACCUAGAAGGCGUUCUAAGAAUUCGGAAUUUGUUGAUCUUGAUGCUAAAUUUGAUAAAAGUGGGAUUGAAGAAAUCAAAACCCUAGAUGUUGCUAAACCCACUAUUAUGGAUUUCAAGGAAUUUAACUAUGAAAAUUGCUCUUUGCUUGAUUGUAUUUCCUUGUUGCAAUCCGUGCUAAAUUCUCCUCACGCUUAUAGUCAAAAUAAAGCGUUUACUAAACAUAUCAUUGAUGCCUUGAUGCAAUCUUAUGAAGAAAAACUUGAAAUGGAAGUUUCUAUCCCUAGAAAACUUUAUGAUGAGUGGGAACCAACUAUUAAAAUUAAAAUUAAAAAUUAUGAGAUUUAUGCUUUGUGUGAUUUGGGUGCUAGUGUCUCUACUAUUCCCAAAACUUUGUGUGAUUUACUAGAUUUCCGUGAUUUUGAUGAUUGCUCUCUAAACUUGCAUCUUGCGGAUUUCACUAUUAAGAAACCUAUGGGAAGAAUUAAUGAUGUUCUGAUUGUUGCUAAUAGGAAUUAUGUGCCCGUAGAUUUUAUCGUUCUUGAUAUAGAUUGCAAUCCUUCUUGCCCUAUUAUUCUUGGUAGACCUUUCCUUAGAACGGUUGGUGCAAUUAUUGAUAUGAAGGAAGGGAAUAUUAGAUUUCAAUUUCCAUUAAAAAGGGCAUGGAACACUUCCCUAGAAAGAAAAUAAAAUUACCAUAUUAAUCUAUCAUGAGAGCCACUUAUGGAUUGCCUACCAAAGAUGGCAAUACCUAGAUCCAUUAUUGCUUGUUAUGCCUAGCUAGGGGCGUUAAAUGAUAGCGCUUGUUGGGAGGCAACCCAAUUUUAUUUUUAUUCCUUGCUUUUUGCUCAUGUUUAGUAAUAAAUAAAUUAUCUAGCCUCUGUUUUGGUUGUGUUUUUUGUGUUUAAUUAGUGUUUGUGCCAAGUAGAACCGUUGGGAAGACUUGGGGAAAGUCUUGUUGAACUUGCUGUAAAAACAGAAACUUUAGCGCUCACGAGAACUGCUGUCAUUUUUAUUUGGAAAGUGCUAUUUAGUUAAUUAUUUUUGCAUAUGAUUAAUAUAUAAAUUACUCACGUCCAGCAAGUUAUUUCAGAAUUUUUGGGGUUCCAGAUCUUGCGCUAGCUACAGAUUACUACAGACUGUUCUGGUUUUGACAGAUUUUGUUUUUCAUGUGUUGUUUGCUUAUUUUGAUGAAUCUAUGGCUAGUAAAAUAGUUUAUAAUCCAUAGCGAAGUUGGAAUAUAGUAGGUUUAACACCAAUAUAAAUAAAUAAUGAGUUCAUUACAGUACCUUAAAGUGGUCUUUUGUUUUCUUUCGCUAACGGAGCUCACGAGUUUUCUACCUUAAGUUUUGUGUUGUGAAGUUUUCAAGUUUUGGGUAAAGAUUUGAUGGAUUAUGGAACAAGGAGUGGAAAGAGCCUAAUCUUGGGGAUGACCAUGGGACCCCAAAGAUAAUCUAAGGAUACCUAAAAGCCAAAGCUUGGGGAUGCCCCGGAAGGCAUCCCCUCUUUCCUCUACUUCUAUCGGUAACUUUACUUGCAGCUAUAUUUUUAUUCACCACAUGAUAUGUGUUUUGCUUGGAGCGUCUUUUAUGAUUUGAGUCUUUGCUUAUUAGUUUACCACAAUCAUCCUUGCUGUACACACCUUUUGAGAGAGCCAUACAUGAUUUGGAAUUUGAUAGAAUACUCUAUGUACUUCACUUAUAUCUUUUGAGCUUUAUAGUUUUGCUCUAGUGCUUCACUUAUAUCUUUUAGAGCAUGGCGGUGGAUUUGUUUUAUAGAAACUAUUGAUCUCUCAUGCUUCACUUAGAUUAUUUUGAGAGUCUUAAUAGCAUGGUAAUUUUCUUAAAAUCCUAAUAUGCUUGGUAUGCAAGAUUAAUAAUAAAACUUUCGUAUGAGUGUGUUGAAUACUAAGAAGAAAUUGAUGCUUGAUAAUUGUUUUGAGAUAUGAGGAUGGUGAUAUUAGAGUCAUGCUAGUUGAGUAGUUGUGAAUUUGAGAAAUGCUUGUGUUAAAGUUUGUGAUUCCCGUAGCAUGCACGUAUGGUGAACCGUUAUGUGAUGAAGUCGGAGCAUGAUUUAUUUAUUGAUUGUCUUCCUUAUGAGUGGCGGUCGGGGACGAGCGAUGGUCUUUUCCUACCAAUAUAUCCUCUAGGAGCAUGCGCGUAAUACUUUGCUUUGCUAACUUCUAGAUUUUUGCAAUAAGUAUAUGAGUUCUUUAUGACUAAUGUUGAGUCCAUGGAUUAUACACACUUUCCAUCCUUCCACCAUUGCUAGCCUCUCUAAUACCGCACACUUUUCGCCGGUAUCAUACACCCACCAAAUACCUUCCUCAAAAUAGCCACCAUACCUACCUAUCAUGGCAUUUCCAUAGCCAUUCCGAGAUAUAUUUCCAUGCAACUUUCCACCGUUCCGUUCAUUAUGACACGCUCCAUCAUUGUCAUAUUGCUAGCAUGAUCAUGUAGUUGACAUCGUAUUUGUGGCAAAGCCACCGUUCAUAAUUCUUUCAUACAUGUCACUCUUGAUUCAUUGCACAUCCCGGUACACCGCCGGAGGCAUUGAUAUAGAGUCAUAUUUUGUUCUAAGAAUCGAGUUGUAAUUCAUGAGUUGUAAGUAAAUAAAAGUGUGAUGAUCAUCAUUAUUAGAGCAUUGUCCCAGUGAGAAAAGGAUGAUGGAGACUAUGAUUCCCCCACAAGUCGGGAUGAGACUCCGGAUGAAAAAAAAGAGGCCAUAAAAAAGAGGGAGAAAGGCCCAAAUAAUAAAAAAAUGAGAGAAAAAGAGAGAAGGGACAAUGUUAUUAUCCUUUUACCACACUUGUGCUUCAAAGUAGCACCAUGAUCUUCAUGAUAGAGAGUCUCUCCUUAUGUCACUUUCAUAUACUAGUGGGAAUUUUUCAUUAUAGAACUUGGCUUGUAUAUUCCAAUGAUGGGCUUCCUCAAAAUGCCCUAGGUCUUCAUUAGCAAGCGAGUUGGAUGCACACCCACUUAGUUUCUUUUGAGCUUUCAUAUACUUAUAGCUCUAGUGCAUCCGUUGCAUGGCAAUCCCUACUCACUCACAUUGAUAUCUAUUGAUGGGCAUCUCUAUAGCCCGUUGAUACGCCUAGUUGAUGUGAGACUAUCUUCUUCCUUUUUGUCUUCUCCACAACCACCAUUCUAUUCCACCUAUAGUGAUAUAUCCAUGGCUCACACUCAUGUAUUGCGUGAAGAUCAGAAAAGUUUUGAAAAUGUCAAAAGUAUGAAACAAUUGCUUGGCUUGUCAUCAGGGUUGUGCAUGAUUUAAAUACUUUGUGUGGUGAAGAUAGAGCAUAGCCAGACUAUAUGAUUUUGGAGGGAUAGCUUUCUUUGGCCAUGAUAUUUUGAGAAGACAUAAUUAAGAAGAUUUACAUUGAAAUUAUGCCAAGUAGCACUCCGCAUCAAAAAUUCUAUUUUUAUCAUUUACCUACUCGAGGACGAGCAGGAAUUAAGCUUGGGGAUGCUUGAUACGUCUCCAACGUAUCUAUAAUUUUUAUUGCUCCAUGCUAUAUUAUCUUCUGUUUUAGACAUUAUUGGGCCUUAUUUUCCACUUUUAUAUAUUUUUGGGACUAAUCUAUUAAUCGGAGGCCCAGCCUAGAAUUGCUAUUUUUUGCCAGUUUUAGGGUUUCGAAGAAAAGGAAUAUCAAACGGAGUCCAAAUGGAAUGAAACCUUCAGAAAUGUGAUUUUCUCAGCAGAUAAGAUCCAGGAGACUUGGACCCUCCGUCAAGAAAGCCACGAGGUGCUCAUGAGGGUAGGCCCCCCCAGGGCACGCCCCCUGCCUCGUGGGCCCCUCGAAGCUCCACCGACGUACUUCUUCCUCCUAUAUAUAUCCACGUACCCCCAAACGAUCGGGGAUGGAGCCAAAAACCUAAUUCCACCGCCGCAACUUUCUGUAUCCAUGAGAUCCCAUCUUGGGGCCUGUUCCGGAGCUCCACCGGAGGGGGCAUCGAUCACGGAGGGCUUCUACAUCAUCAUCCAAGCCCCUCCGAUGAAGUGUGAAUAGUUUACUUCAGACCUACAGGUCCAUAGCUAGUAGCUAGAUGACUUCUUCUCUCUUUUUGGAUCUCAAUACAAUGUUCUCCCCCUCUCUCGUGGAGAUCUAUUCGAUGUAAUCUUCUUUUUGCGGUGUGUUUGUUGAGACCGAUGAAUUGUGGGUUUAUGAUCAAGUCUAUCUAUGAAUAAUAUUUGAAUAUUCUCUGAAUUCUUUUAUGUAUGAUUGGUUAUCUUUGCAAGUCUCUUUGAAUUAUCAGUUUGGUUUGGCCUACUAGAUUGGUUUUUCUUGCCAUGGGUGAAGUGCUUAGCUUUGGGUUCAAUCUUGCGGUGUCCUUUCCCAGUGAUAGAAGGGGCAGCAAGGCACGUAUUGUAUUGUUGCCAUCGAGGAUAACAAGAUGGGUUUUUUAUCAUAUUGCAUGAAACUAUCCCUCUACAUCAUGUUAUCUUCCUUAAGGCGUUACUCUAUUUUUAACUUAAUACUCUAGAUGCAUGCUGGAUAGCAGUCGAUGAGUGGAGUAAUAGUAGUAGAUGCAGAAUCGUUUCGGUCUACUUGUCUCGGACGUGAUGCCUAUAUACAUGAUCAUACCUAGAUAUUCUCAUAACUAAGCGCAAUUCUGUCAAUUGCUCAACAGUAAUUUGUUCACCCACCGUAGAAUACUUAUGCUCUUGAGAGAAGCCACUAGUGAAACCUAUGGCCCCCGGAUCUCUUUCUCAUCAUAUCAAUCUCCAUCACUUUACUAUUUCUUUGCUUUUACUUUAUUUACUUUGCAUCUCUAUACCAAAAAUACCAAAGAAAUAUUAUUUAUCAUCUCUAUCAGAUCUCACUUUCGUAAGUGAUCGUGAAGGGAUUGACAACCCCUAAGCAUGUUGGUUGCAUUGAGCUAUUGUUUUUGUGUAGGUACGAGGGACUCGAGCGUAGCCUCCUACUGGAUUGAUACCUUGGUUCUCAAAAACUGAGGGAAAUACUUACACUACUUUGCUGCAUCAUCCCUUCCUCUUCGGGGAAAUACAACGCAGUGCUCAAGAGGUAGCACUGGUCCACCUAUCAUGCAGCCAAAGGCAGGUGUAGUUAAGGCACCGGAGCUCAGUCCGCGAGGGAGAGGGUGGUGUAGUAAUCAAACUUCUCGGUCUUGUACGAGUUGACGCGACAAAUCAAAGCACCGCACUCGAUAUAUUUCAAUAAUUUGUGUUUACCGAUGCAUUAUUUACAAUGCAUGCAUGCAUGCAUGCUGUGACUCUCCUUUUGAUACUUGCAUGUGUUGAUUUAAUGCACAUUGCCAAAUUUUGACUAUAAAUUUAACUAACCAAAUGUUCAUGCAUGUCACAAAAAAAUACAUAAUUGAAAACUAUGUUCAAAUACAAAUCAAACAAUAUAAUUUUUCUUAACAUGCACUAACAUUUUGUCAGUUAAAUCUUUGGUCAAAAUUUAGCACCAAUUACAAAGGGGCCCAAUACAUAUUGUACUCUCACAUUUUGUUUUGAGGAUACUCCCACAUAGAAAAUAUAAAUAAUAAUGCAUGUUGGGGCAACCCACGUGAGGGAGUCCUGGAUUAGGGGGUGUCCGGAUAGCCGGACUAUACCUUCAGCCAGACUCCUAGACUAUGAAGAUACAAGAUUGAAGACUUCAUCCCGUGUCCGGAAGGGACUUUCCUUGGCGUGGAAGGCAAGCUUGGCGAUACGGAUAUGUAGAUCCCCUACCAUUGUAACCGACUUUGUGUAACCCUAACCCUCUCCAGUGUCUAUAUAAACCGGAGGAUUUUAGUCCAUAGGACAACAUACAGAACAACAAUCAUACCAUAGGCUAGCUUCUAGGGUUUAGCCUCUCCGAUCACGUGGUAGAUCUACUCUUGUACUAGCCAUAUCAUCAAUAUUAAUCAAGCAGGAUGUAGGGUUUUACCUCCAUCAAGAGGGCCCGAACCUGGGUAAAACUUCGUGUCCCUUGCCUCCUGUUACCAUCCGGCCUAGACGCACAGUUCGGGACCCCCUACCCAAGAUCCGCCGGUUUUGACACCGACAUUGGUGCUUUCACUGAGAGUUCCUCUGUGUCAUCGCUGUUAGGCUUGAUGGCUCCUACGAUCAUCAAUAGCGAUGCAGUCCAGGGUGAGACCUUCCUCCCUGGACAAAUCUUCGUCUUCGGCGGCUUCGCACUGCGGGCCAAUUCACUUGGCCAUCUGGAGCAGAUCGAAAGCUAUGCCCCUGGCCGUCAGGUCAGAUUUGGAAGUUUAAACUACACGGCUGACAUCCGCGGGGACUUGAUCCUCGAUGGAUUCGAGCCACUGCCGAGCGUGCCGCACUGUCACGACAAGCAUGAUCUAGCUGUGCCGCCGAACAGUGCCCUGGAGGCCGGACCCGCAUCGGCUUCGACCCUUAAUUCGGAGCCAACUGCGCCGAUCGAGGAUGGGUGGUUGGACGCCGCCUCGGGGGCUGCGAUCCCAACGGUGAUCGAGCCGAACACCAGCCCCGCACUCCGUGAGGCUCGUGACUCCAAGGAUCCGGACUCCUCUCCGGAUUCAGAACCCUCCGCGCCCCUGCCGAUCGAAUCCGAUGGGGCGCCGAUCAUGGAGUUUACUGCCGCGGACAUCUUUCAGCACUCGCCUUUGGGCGAUAUUCUGAAGACACUAAAGUCUCUCUCUUUAUUAGGAGAGCCCUGGCCAGACUACGGUCAGCAAGGUUGGGAUACGGAUGAUGAAGAAAUUCAAAGCCCACCCACCACCCACUUUGUAGCCACUGUCGAUGAUUUAACCGACAUGCUCGACUUCGAUUUCGAAGACAUCGACGGUAUGGAUGCCGAUGCAGGAGAUGAUGAAGAACCAGCGCCUAUUGGGCCCUGGAAAGCCACCUCAUCAUAUGACAUAUACAUGGUGGACACCCCAAAAGAAGGAGAUGGCGAUGGAACAGCGGAGGAUGACCCCUCCAAGAAACAGCCUAAGCGCCAGCGACAGCGGCGCCGCUCAAAAUCCUGCCAAAGCAAAUACGGUGAUUCUAGCACGGGAGAUAAUAAUACUCUGGAGAGUGCCAAAGAAAACCCCCUCUAGCAAGAUUCAGCAUAGGAGGAUGGAGAAGCCAGCCCUCACGAGAGAGCGGCAGACAGAGAGGUCGAGGACGAUAACUAUACGCCUCCCUCCGAAGACGAGGCAAGCCUCGACGAUGACGAAUUCGUCAUGCCAGAGGAUCCUGUCGAGCAAGAGCGUUUUCAUCGCAGGCUUAUGGCCACGACAGGAAGCCUCAAGAAAAAAUAGCAACAGCUUAGAGCUGAUCAAGAUAUGCUAGUCGACAGAUGGACUGAAGUCCUUGCGGCCGAAGAGCAUAAACUCGAACGCCCCUCCAAGAGCUACCCAAAGCGCAGGUUGCUACCCCGAUUAGAGGAUGAAGCACUUAAACCUACAUCACCAGCACUUGAUACGGCCGACCGGCCACCUCGUGGCCGCGACAGAGAGGCCUCUCGGCCCUCCACUCAAGCCACACCCCGUACCAAGGCACGGGAAAAUGCGCCAGACCUGCGAGAUAUGUUGGAGGACAAGGCAAGGCAAACAAGAUCGAUCUACGGAUCGCGUGGGCGCCCCACGACUCGAGACGGUAACCAUCACGUCGGACACAAAUCCGGUAGGGCCGAACACAGUAGACAAAGCUCAUUAGAGCUACGUCGUGAUAUAGCCCAGUACAGAGGCGCCGCACACCCACUAUGCUUCACAGACGAAGUAAUGGAUCAUCAAAUCCCCGAGGGUUUCAAACCCGUAAACAUCGAAUCAUAUGAUGGCACAACAGAUCCUGCGGUAUGGAUCGAGGAUUAUCUCCUUCAUAUCCACAUGGCCCGCGACGAUGAUCUCCACGCCAUCAAAUACCUCCCACUCAAGCUUAAAGGACCAUCUCGGCAUUGGCUUAAUAGCUUGCCAGCAGGAUCAAUCGGUUGUUGGGAGGACCUGGAAGCUGCAUUCCUCGACAAUUUCCAGGGCACUUAUGUGCGACCACCAGACGCCGAUGAUCUAAGCCACGUAAUUCAGCAACCAGAGGAAUCGGCCAGGCAAUUCUGGACACGGUUCCUAACAAAGUAAAAUAAAAUAGUCGACUAUCCGGACGCAGAGGCCCUAGGAGCCUUCAAGCACAAUAUCCGUGACGAGUGGCUUGCCCGGCACCUUGGACAGGAAAAGCCAAAAUCUAUGGCAGCAUUCACGACACUCAUGACCCGCUUUUGUGCGGGAGAAGACAGCUGGCUUGCUUGUAGCAACAACAUGACCAAGAACCCUGGUAAUUCGGAUACCAGGGACAGUAGUGGCAGGUCACGUCGCAACAAGCAGAAGCGCCGCAUUAAUGGCGACAACACUGAGGAUACGACAGUUAAUGCCGGAUUCAGAGGCUAUAAAUCUGGUCAGCGGAAAAAGCCAUUCAAAAGAAAUCCUAGGGGGCCGUCCAGUUUGGACCGAAUACUCGACCGCUUGUGCCAGAUACAUGGCACCCCCGAAAAGCCGGCCAAUCACACCAACAGGGAUUGUUGGGUGUUCAAGCAGGCAGGCAAGUUAAACGCCGAAAAUACAGACAAGGGGCUACAUAGCGAUGACGACGAAGAGCCCCGGCCGCCGAACAACAGUGGACAGAAGGGUUUCCCCCCACAAGUGCGGACGGUGAACAUGAUAUACGCAACCCACAUCCCCAAGAGGGAGCGGAAGCGCGCGUUAAGGGACGUAUACGCGGUAGAGCCAGUCGCCCCAAAGUUCAACCCAUGGUCCUCCUGCCCGAUCACCUUUGAUCAAAGGGACCAUCCCACUAGCACCCGUCAUGGCGGAUUCGCCACAUUGAUUCUAGACCUAAUUAUUGACGGACUUCAUCUCACUAGAGUCCUUAUGGACGGCGGCAGCAGCCUGAACCUGCUUUACCAGGAUACAGUGCGGAAAAUGGGCAUAGAUCCCUUGAGGAUUAAGCCCACCAAAACGACAUUUAAAGGCGUAAUACCAGGUGUAGAGGCCAACUGUACAGGCUCAGUCACACUUGAAGUGGUCUUCGGAUCCCCGGAUAAUUUCCGAAGCGAGGAGUUAAUCUUCGACAUAGUCCCAUUCCGCAGUGGCUAUCACACACUGCUCGGGCGAACCGCAUUCGCCAAGUUCAAUGCGGUACCGCACUACGCAUACCUUAAGCUCAAGAUGCCAGGCCCUCGAGGAGUAAUUACGGUCAAUGGAAACACCGAACGCUCCCUUCGAACGGAGGAGCACAUGGCGGCCCUUGUAGCGGAAGUACAAAGCAGCCUCUCCAGGCAGUUCUCCAGUCCGGCCAUUAAACGUCCGGACACCAUCAAGCGCGCCCGGAGUAUCCCACAACAAGACCGCCUGGCACGUUCGGAGCAGGCGUAGCAAUGCGGCCCCAACCCCAGCCCUCACAAACAUGCGACACCAGUGCUUCGCGUACAUAACUAUGCUCUAGAAAUACCAUGGGUACAGGGGGAGGAGCACCAUCACGGCACGCCCGAAACACGGCUUAAACCGCACCAGGGGCCGCCGAUUUUUCAAUUUUCUCUUACUUUCAGGACUCCAUUCUUCGGAAGGCAUGUUCGGCAGUUCAAUUGCCGCACAAACGAUGCAAGAACCAGGGAAGCAGACAAGCCAUGCCGCAUUACGGAACUCCCAGGUGGUCUCUAUCAUGAGCAGUAUACCUGUUUCGCAUACCAUUCCGUACCCUGCCCCUGGAACGGACAUGUUAAAUAGUCCAACCUUUUGCUUAUCGCAUUAUUUGUAUCAUUCUGCUUUGAUCGCAACCCCUUUUUAAUAAACGAUGCAUAGCUUUUGUCUAUUUUUGCAUUACUCUUUUUUUACAAAUAUAUGUUCCUUAACGACAUGUUGCACCCGUACACUUCGGUACGGCCAAAAUAUGCCAGGGGCUUUAGUACCCCUCAAUAUGGUGUGAGAAGUUCGAACUCUUUAACAAGUGCGGCACCCCGAACUUAUAGCAUUAUAUGCAUCGGCUCUGAAUCAUGUCUUGGGUCAAUAGUUGGGUUUGCCCGGCUCCUAUGUUUUGGUGCCUUACGUUCCGCUAUAUCGGCUAAGGUAGCACUAGGAGAACUACUGCGAUUGUGCCCCAGUUGAGCCGGGUCGAGCACCUCAGUAGAGAAAACAAAAACUGACUGUCAUGAUGAAGCGAGAGCUGGUCGCUGUUUGAGAGGUUUUUCGAGUCCCUAAAGACUUAUGCCACUUAGAGCGAGGAGUUGGCUCUGUCCGGCCAAGGCGUGGAUAGCGCCCCGAACUCGGUCUUCUGAAUACCAGGGGCUUUGCCGGAAUUUAAAAUUAUAGAAUUCUAUGGCUAAGUGAGAGUGUUCACGCAUUAUAGUCCGAUUGCCUUGUUCGUGUGCUGAGCGCCUCCCUCGAAGGACCCAAGCAUGGGAAAAAGAGCGCUCAGGUUUAUCCCCGAACACCCCAGCACUAGCGGCACGGGGGCAGAAGCCGACGACUCGCCAUCUCUCAGAAUUGAUAAACAGCCGCACAGAAGGUAAUAUUUUAAAUUCUAGCAGCAUUGCUUAGCGCAUAUGAAUAAGUUUUCAGCGCAUAGGACAAAACGAGCGAGUUUUACUCAAAAAUUACAUCCCUGGAACAUUCAUCCGCCACAAGGCGGGCACCCUUCAAAACAUCCGUAUAAUAAUUCUCGGGCUUGCGAUGCUCUUUCCCCGGCGGUGGCCCGUCCUUCACAAGCUUCUCAGCAUCCAGCUUGCCCUAGUGCACCUUAGCACGGGCGAGGGCCCUACGGGCACCUUCAAUGCAGACGGAGCGCUUGAUGACUUCGAGCCUUGGACAGGCCCCCACCAGUCGCCGCACCAACCCGAAAUAGCUCCCAGGCAGAGCCUCUCCAGGCCACAGCCGAAAUAUGAGGCCCUUCAUGGCCUGUUUGGCCGCCUUGUGGACCUCGACCAGUUGCUUCAGCUGGUCGCUCAGGGGCACGGGGUGUCCGGCCUCAGCAUACUGAGACCAGAACACCUUCUUUGUCGAGCUGCCCUCCUCGGCUUGAUAGAAUACGGUGGCAUCGGACACGCUACGGGGAAGAUCUGCGAACCCUCCUGGAGAGCUCCGAAUUCGGGUAAGUAACAAGUAACUCACGUUUAUGUGUUUGCUUUGCAUAAAGAAUGCCUUACCCGCCGCUAUCUUUUUCACCUCAUCCAACUCCUGGAGGGUCUUCUGGGAUUCGGCCUUGGCAUACUUGGCAUUUUCAAUAGCCACCGCGAGCUCGGACGCUCGCGUCUUUGAGUCAAGCUCUAAACUCUCAUGUUUUUCCAUGAGAGCCUGGAGCUCUUGCUGCACCUUGCCAACCUGGGCCUCAUACUUCUCCUGCUCGGUGCGCUCCGUGGCCGCCCUCUUCUCGGCCUCGACCAGCGCUUGCUUAAGGGUCGCCAACUCAGACGUGGCCCCUACAAUAGCCACGAUAAUCCUGUCAUUUUUUGCAAAUGCACCUUUUUUAUAUAUUUAAACAAGGUAUUUCUUACCUUCCUUGUCCUCGAGCUGCUUUUUGGCACGUCCGAGCUCUUGCUCAGACUGCUUGAGGUUCUGCUUUAGCGUGUCCACUUCCGCAGUGAGUACGGGGGACGCCAGCAGAGAAGCUUGCAUACGCAUAUUGACUCCUUUUUGUUAGACUCCUGCGAAUUUUAUUUGAUCCUCUAUUUGGCUUUUCUUCCCGAACGCCAAACAGAGCAUCACGGGCUACUGUCUAUGCGGUAAUAUUAUUUACACAUUCUUUACUUACCUCAAAGCCUGUUAAAAGGCUAGCACAAAGGAGGAAGAAGGAGUAGGUGAAAAGGUGGAUCCUUAUCCCCUUAUAUGGGUGGACGCAACUACGUGUCCCCACCAGCCUGGUAAAACUCGCUUAUCCCCAAGCGCCGUAAUCAAUGGCGUGGGUGGGUUACCCACGCCCGUAUUGAUGGGAAUCCCGGAAUAAGGGGACACGAUCUCUGCUUUAACAAGACGUGCCAAGGAAACCGCCUCGCAUGACAUGCUGAGGUGGGACAAUAAAACGAUUCGAAUAAAGGCUUGGUCGUGGUGCGAUGUCACACUACGAAAUACGUCAGCAGAUUAGAUUUGUGUAAAUAUUAUUCUCUCUAUGGCAAUAUGUGGAAACUUAUUUUGCAGAGCUGGACACUAUCUUUGUGUUCAAAAUCUUCUAUGAAGUACUUGGAGGAGGAACCCGCCUUGCAAUGCCGAAGAUAAUCUGCGCGCCAGACUCGUCGUCAUUGAAGCCUGGUUCAGGGGCUACUGAGGGAGUCCUGGAUUAGGGGGUGUCCGGAUAGCCGGACUAUACCUUCAGCCGGACUCCUGGACUAUGAAGAUACAAGAUUGAAGACUUCGUCCCGUGUCCGGAAGGGACUUUCCUUGGCGUGGAAGGCAAGCUUGGCGAUACGGAUAUGUAGAUCCCCUACCAUUGUAACCGACUUUGUGUAACCCUAACCCUCUCCGGUGUCUAUAUAAACCGGAGGAUUUUAGUCCGUAGGACAACAUACAGAACAACAAUCAUACCAUAGGCUAGCUUCUAGGGUUUAGCCUCUCCGAUCUCGUGGUAUAUCUACUCUUGUACUAGCCAUAUCAUCAAUAUUAAUCAAGCAAGACGUAGGGUUUUACCUCCAUCAAGAGGGCCCGAACCUGGGUAAAACUUCGUGUCCCUUGCCUCCUAUUACCAUCCGGCCUAGACGCAUAGUUCGGGACCCCCUACCCGAGAUCCGCCGGUUUUGACACCGACAACACGUUUUUGAUAAUUUUAGCCGUGGGCUUGUUCACAAAUUUUACGAGGGGUUGGUUGUUCAUUUAAUGGAGGGUCUUGUACCAUACUUGAACAAUACAAAGUGCGACCUGACACACCAUAACACCACUUGGAAUAAGUGGGUAGCUAUCUCAAAAAACAACCAACAACUCAAAAAAAAAACGGCGACCUGGCACGUACACAAUUUUAAACGAUUGUUUUGAUGGAGUGAAAAAGGAAAACUACCCCACUAUGUAUAUAUAGGCCGGAGCCUCCGUGCUUGCUUGCUAGGGUUGCUCUAUUCACACACUCUCGUCCUCUCCAGAUCUAAACAAGACAGCGGUGGUAACACUGUCUUUCUCCCUUCAAAAAACAUUGUAUUUCUAUCCUCACCGCUGGUAAUAGAUCCGGACGUAUCCCCCUCCACCGGUGGAGGGGAGGAGGGGCAGCGUUUAGGCCGUCGUCAACAAUGAGGGAGGAGACCCACUGCCGGCCGUACCGUUAUCUCUAGCCGAGCGCUAGCACGGGAGGUGCUCCGAACCCUUCGUCGUUGCCCUAGUGUGGGCGGAUCCGGCCUCCCACCACCCACCUAUCCACUUCCCGAUGACCUUCAGGUAUAUCUUCCUUCGAAACCGCCCUAGCUCUACUUCCCCAGCGUGCUACGUCACUGCAUGUGCAUCAUUUUGUACCUCUCAGCCCCUCUCGAUCGGAUGGUCAAACGACACAUACUCCCUCCAUCCCAAAAUUCUUGUCUUAGAUUUGUCUAAAUACGGAUGUAUCAAGUCACGUUUUAGUAUUAGAUACAUCCGUAUCUAGACGAAUCUAACACAAGAAUUUUGGUAUGGAGGGAGUAUUUUUUUCUUCUAUUGUUAGAGGUAAAGCUACUUCAUGGAGUCGAAUCUUGUACUUGGUUCAAACAAGAAAUAAAGUGGGGGUGGGGGAAUUUAGUAUGUACAUCAGACUUGGUACAAACAAGAAGGAUAGGGGGUGAAAGUAGUACAGACUGGUCAUCCAACCGGUCUCUUGGUCGAAAAGGGAAAUAUAGGAGAAAUGAUGUACACACUGGUAUGACCAGGACUAGAUUUUCUAUCCACACAUAAGAUGGCUGCAUGCAUCAUUAUCACCCAUAUUGGCACCAUAACCUUCCUUUAGGUAAGAAUGAUAUUUAAUGCAUGUGUUCAUCUCUAUUUUGCGACUGCCAUGAGAAAAUAAUGCUAUUGUUUUCUAGUACACUUGUACUCCCUCACUGACAAAACCAAUUCUAAAAUAGAAGGCCAAUCGUGUACUUGGUUUCACCAACUGGUGAGGAGAAAGAGAAACAGAGUAUGAAGAGGAGGAAGAAGAAGGAGAACAGUGCCAAGGUGAUCUUGCUGAAGCCGAGGCCUCAGUCGAGGCCAUUCAAGGGCUCCAACAACGUCUACCUUACAUGUGAGACGAUCCUCCAGGGAGCCCUUCCACUUCUGCGUAUUGUCCAUGAUGAAUUUGAUGCUACUGUUAGAAUAAUAUGCUAAUGUCUUUCUAUCCUUUCUCACUAAGCUAAUGAAGGUUUCAUCUUGUUCCUACUUGUGCAAACAAGGAUCAUGUUGUGCCAAUCAUACAUUUCAAUGGAACUACACAAGACAAUACAAUGAACUGUAUCCUAGACAGUGCUUUAACUCUGCUGGAAGUUCUUGAUAAUCUUCCGAUAUAAUCUCAGCACUGGUAAACAAGAGUGAUUUCAACCAUACAUUUGAAGUGCACAAAAAUAUAUACUAUUGAGUGAUUCUAGUGAGUGCUUUAUCAUCUCUUCUGGGACUACAUGAAUAAGCUUUUUUUCUCAGGUUGAUACCGGCCUAAGGCCUUCAUUCAUAUUAGUUUGUACUCAUCUCUAUUUGUAUCAUGCUACUGUCAUAAAAACUCCUUUAUCUUUGCACGUUAAAGUUUUGAAACCUAUGAUAGAUGGCACUGCUUUGAGUGUUGAGCUAAUUGGCACUAAUUAUAUAAACUAAUAUCUCUCUUUAAGCAAGACUACUAUGUUGCUAACUUUAUCGAUUAAGAUAAUGAGGGUGCUUCUAUUUGUUAAUGUAUGUUUCAUCAACUAGUCCCACUAUUACAGUAAUCUCAGUCUCUCAAUAUAUGUGCCAACAGGGAUGCUCGAUUUUGGUGGAACUGCACAAAAACUUUGGGUGCUUCAUUGCCUCGACAGCUUCCUUCCUUUCCUGUCAGUCACUAAUCUGGGCUUCCUUCCUUCCUUUGCUGUCAGUCGCUUGGCUUAUCUCGGCUUCCAGUCAAAGGAAAUAGUAAUUGAUAUGCUACCUCACACAGGUUGGUAUUGGUCAUUAUCCUAGUUAUUAUGCUUGUCAUAUGUAUUGGUAAUUUGGUAUUGUGCUACUGUUUGCCGAUUUCAUAAAUGAGUAACUUGGAGCCUAAACUCGCAGACAAAUCAUUACAUUGGGUGAUUUCAGUAGAACUGCACAAAAAGAUCAGAUGGACAGGUACUUAUGCUGCUGCUAUGUACUCCAAAGUUCACUCAGACAAGCAUCGAUGUUGACAAGAAGAAGUGCCUAUAUUCAUUCGAAUAUCAACCGGCGCCAACCCGUUGUCAAACUCCAAGUAUUAGGAGACUGAACACCAAAAAUAUUGCUUGGCGCAUAGCCCAGAAAAACGCAUUCCAGUCUUUGGUCCCAACCUGUGCCUUUUGGUUAUCGGCACAUAUGGUAGCAAAUUGUAUGGCAUGGAGUCUAAAGAUUCCAUACAAGUUGGUUGACGCGUAUAUUCAUCUGGCACUUAAUCAGUCUGCACGCCAGGGAUGCUCCAUUUCAGUUGAACUGCACAAAAAAAUUGGGUGGUUCAUUUUCUCAACUGCCUAUUUUCUUGUCCAUAAUGUAGAAUUUUGGCGAGCUACAGGACCAAGAUGAGCCAAUAAACUAGUUGGAUGAAAGUAGUGGCCAAGUUGCUCAAACCUCCCUCGGCACGAGGCCACUAUUUGAGGAUAAACCUACAAGCAAAGUUCAGAUUGUUUGUGCUGCCUCUUAUGUACUUGAAAGUUUACUCGUACAAGCAUUAAUUUUAGCAUGAAGUACCUGCACGCUAGGGAUGCUCCAUUUCAGUUGAACUGCACAAAAAAUUUGGCUGGUUCAUUUUCUUAACCGCCUCCUUUCUUGAAUGCAAUGUAGAAUUUUCGCGAGCUACAUGACCAAGAUGCGCCAGUAAACUAGUUGGAUGAAAGUAGUGGCCAAGUUGCUCAAACCUCCCUCGGCACGAGGCCACUAUUUAAGGAUAAACCUACAAGCAAAGUUCAGAUUGUCUGUGCUGCCUCUUAUGUACUCGAAAGUUUACUCAUACAAGCAUUAAUUUUAGCAAGAAGUACCUCCGACUGAACACCAUUUACCAGUCUGUACCCUAGGCAAUUAAAGUUCGUCCAUGGAUGAUAUUGGCUGUGAUAUCAAUCAUUUGGUUGCAUAAACAUACCGAACAUGUGUAUAUCAGAAUCUUUUUGUGAAUUAUCUAUGAAUAUUUUUGUGUGAUCCGUCAUUCAUUUGGAUGCAUAGACAUGCUGAACUUGUGUAUAUGUUGACUAUGAAUAUGAACGUGUCCUGUGAACCUGAGUUUGAUACAAAUGUUUACCUGUUUUGUUGUACUUGUGUGUGAACUUGUUACUAUGUCUACUGUGGUAUUUGUGAUGUGUGGGUGUCAACGGCACACCUUCUUCCCGAGAAGAAUCACACCUGCUUAGUUAGGGUAGCAACGGUGCAUCAGCUCUUUUUCAUAUUUUUUCUCUGACUUCCCCCCUCCCCCGCUCAACCCCUGCCAUAAUGUUUUCGGCCUCAAAACAAGCAUAUACUGCGUUGUUUUUGGGGCUCGAUGAAAAAUCGAGUGCUGGUUUCUGUAGGUUGGCCCGCCUAGCAAAAGGGCUGCUGGUCCACCACGGAAUGGGAGGCUAAAAAUACAAAUUGUAUGGUGCAGAGGCAAGUAAAAAAACGCCAUUGAGAUCCAUCUACUGAAGAAAAAUAUCGCGUCUGAUGUGCUUCUUCAGUCGCGCCGCCGCCCCCCUCUUUAAUCCAGUUCGCUCAGGGAUUUAGCUGGUAUCAUUUUUUUCCAGAGGGCGAACAAGUAUCAGCUAGGCCUAGGUAUGCGUAGCCCAUGACAUACGAAGAAAGUGGUUUCAACUUAUUUUUUGAGGUCCAUACCGGCCUAUGGGCCUCCCAGAGUAGGUUUUACUUUUUCUUAAAGAUCGGCAUGCCAAUGUAUUUUCUUAAUAAAACAUAGAUCUCUGUUCUAUUUAUCUAUAUAUAAGAUUACUAAUGCUGUGUCCUAUUUACGUUUUCCCUUCUAACCGCAUUAUAUAUAUUUAUAUAAUUACUAUUAUGAUAUAUUUUAUAGAGACUUAUAUAUACAUUAUAAAAACAUCCCACAUGUUAUUAACUUAUAAAAGUAAAUGUUUAACAGAAGUUGGCAAGGAAAAUCCUGGUUAUUUUUGACUCAUAGGUAGGAAAAUCCUGGUGAUUGCGUACAAAAUCUUGCGAAGAUUUUAAGGCCCUAUGUAAUAAUAACGCGCUCAUUUUUAUUUUGAGCAAUAACUUGCUAAUUUUUUAAUUUUAUAUAUACAAAAUGUGUCGCAACACUUUAUUUUUUUAUUAAUUGCUCCUUCUAACCUAACAUUAUACUGUAUAUAGAACGAGCCCAACUAAUUCAUGUAUUUCAAGAAAGUGCAAAUGGGCUAGGAUGUCUUAGAAAUUAUUAAAUGGGCCGCAUUGACGCGAAAUUAUUUGUUCACCCACCCCAGCAAAUGGACUGUACAUUCUAGAAAACAUGGGUUAAAUAUAUGCCACAUUUUUGCAGGCUGACAUGUGGGCCAAUAUGUCAAAACCUACGCAGGGCAUUGUCAACUUGGUCAACAAAUGAUUAUAACAUCCACAGCCAUUGGAUUUAUAUCCAACGGCCGACAUGCACCUUCAAUUUCUCGUCUUCUUCCUCCAGCGUCGCCGGGACCGCCUGGUCUGGCCUCCGGCGGCUAGCGGCUCUACUUAGCAUGCAUCGCUGCGAAGUGCUACCCCACCGCCGGCCAGGCCACACUUCCACACCUCUUGUUAUUCUCCACCGACUACAGCCCCACGCCACACCAGAACCACUUAUAACCCUUGUACUCCUCUCAAUCUGCGACUCCACUGCCGCAUCUUCCCAUCUCCGGGUCGUUCCUGUCCGGGGCCUCGCCGUCGUCCACGGCCUCGCCGCGCUCGACGUGGCGUGGUCAACAAACAAGGUCAUCGGAAGAGGACUAUACGUGGAGAGCCUGAUGGCUGGGACCCACAAGGUCCAUGGUUGCACGCAAGGAAAGUUCCUCCUUAUUAAGCUGAAAAAAUGUUUCCUCCCCCUGACAGUUGGGACCCACCGGCUGUAUCUUCGCACAGAAGGAAGUGCCUCCUUGUUAUGCAAAAAAACUAUUCCUCCCGUUGACAGCUGGGACCUGUCAGAUUUUGUGGCUGACUUUUGGGCCUACUAAGAGGACGUGUACGUAGGGCUUUGUCAACUUAAUCAACAAAUGAUUCUAGCAGCUGUAUCAUUGGAUGUUAACCCAACAGUCGUGCUCCUUCUUCAACCUCUGUUCUUGCUCCUGUCUCUCGUGGGCGGUAGUGCUGCCGCGCACCCGUACCAGUCAAGUUUCCCACUCCUCUCCAUCUGCGACUCCACUGCCGCAUCUUCCCCAUCUCCGGGUCGUUCCAGUCUGGGGCCUCGCCGUCGUCCACCGGCCUUGGUGCGUUCGGCACGGUGUGGUCAACGUGGUCAACAAACAAGAGUCAUCGGAAGAUGACUGUACGUGAGAGGCUGACAGUGCAGACGCACCAUGCCCAUGGACGCAUGCAUGCAACUACAUCCUUUUUACCCUGAAAAAUAAUGUUUUCUCCCCAUGACUGCUGGGACCCACCAGCUACAUCUUCGCAUGCAAGGAAGUGCGUCCAUAUUACGGGCAAAAAAAUGAUUCGCCCCCCUAACUGCUGGGACCCACCAGCUACAUCUUCGCACGCAAGGAGGUGCCUGAUAGUCGGGACCCACCCGGUCGAAGCGUACGUUGCAUUGUCAUUCUGGUCGCGAAUGUGUACGUACAUACUGGUCGAUCGGUCUGUCUGCAGGCUGCAGCGAUGAACCGUGGCCGUGUAAGGAAGGGAACGUGUGAUAAUAGAGGCGCGCACAUGUCGUAGUAGAGGCAUGCAUGUAGCAUGUACACGUACGUAUAGCGGCCGGGGUGCAAGAAAGUAAAUACCGCCAUGUACGUACAUACGGGCGGGGUCUCAAAUGCCUACUCACGCAUACGUACGGCCAGGGCUUGUGUACAUGGCUGUGGCUGGGUUGGAACGGAGAAACUGCAACGUCGUCAUGUUCAUGGGGAGGCAACAGAAUGCGCCGUGUUCAUCGGGAGGCAAUGGAACGCAUGCUGUUCAUCGGGAGCCAACCGACUUGGACGGAACAACCAAUGGAAACGAGGCCUGGCAUACUACAGAACGGAGGAAACGGCCUUGUGUUCAACCGUCCAUGGUGGAAAUGGGAUCUGUUCAUCGGAGUGGGUCUGGCGUACUGCAAAACGGAGGAAACGGACCUCCUAUGGUCGAAACGGGGUCCUGUUGAUCGGGAUGGGUGUGGCGUACCGCAAAACGGAGGACACAAACUUGUGUUGGAGCGGUACGGUUGAAAAGGGGGUCCUGUUCAUCGGGAGGGAUUUGGCGUACCGCAAAACGGGACUCCACGGGAUACUGUUCAUCUCCACCGUCGACCUCCCCAGCCUCCAUGGGCUCAUGUUCAUCCACCAUUGACCUGCUCCAGCCUCCACCUGCGACUGUUCAUCCACGGGCUCCUGUUCAUCCGGCCUCCACCGGCUACUGUUCAACCAGCCCUCUCCACGGGGUCCUGUUCAACCACCCCUCCACCGGCUACUGUUCAACCAGCCCUCCACGGGGUCCUAUUCAUCCAGCCCUCCACAGGGCCCUAUUCAUCCACCGGCUACUGUUCAUCCAGCGGCAACGACCUCUACUACCACGGGGUCCUGUUCAUCCAACCCCCAACGGGAACUGUUCAUCCAAACCCCCCAACAAUGCUCACUCUUCAUCCAGAGGCAGCAUCGAUCGACUUCAGUUAGCAGCAGUAGCGAAGGAAUCACUCGGAUUCAGUUAACAGCAAGGGAUCGAUCGAUCGCUCAGGUUCAGUAACGCGUAGCCUAUAGUGCAAUCACUCGGGUUCAGUUAGAGCGCAACACCUCGCUCAGGUUCAUUUAGAGCGCAACGCCUCGCACACCCGACCACCCACCGUAACCGGGAACUCCCCCGAAAUUUUCCUCGUCCUCGCUUCUACCACGAUUUUCUCCGUCAUGGAUGGACCAAAGAAUGUCAUGCAACCGCGUCUUCGGCCCGCCCAGGACGAAAAGCCCAUUUUCUGUCAUGAUUUUUUGUCAUAGAAGUAGGAGCCCACGACAUCUAUGAUGAUACCGGGUUUUGUCACAAUUGUCAUCAUAGAAGUGUCAUAAGCAUGACAGAAAAAAAAUUCGUUCGGCCUAAAAUGUCACGUAUGUGUCUUUUUUUGUAGUGUAUAUAGAGUGCGUUGCAGCCCCAUGUCCCCCAUGCCGCCAGCGCAGUUAAUGCCAUUGAAUGAGAUAAUUACUAGUGUAAUGAGUCUCUAUUAAAACAGUUACAGGUACCAACUAGCAUCAACUACAAGGGGUAAUCAACACUACUAGCAACCCACAGGUACCAUUCUGAGGUUUUGGGACCAAGAUUGAAUACAAGAGAUGAACUAGGGUUUGAGAGGAGAUGGUUCUGGUGAAGAUGUUGAUGGAGAUUGACCCCUCUUGAUGAGAGGAUCAAUGGUGGUGAUGAUGACGAUGAUGUCCUACUCCCGGAGGGAUGUUUCCCUAAUGGAACAGUUCCGCUAGAGCCCUAGAUUGGUUCGGCCCAGGUUCCGCCUCAAGACAGUGGCGCUUCAUCCUGAAAGCUUCGUUCUGACUUUUUCCAGGUCAAAACACACCAUUUAGCCAAAGAUGGGCAUCGAAGCCUUGCCAGGGGGCCCNNNNNNNNNNNNNNNNNNNNNNNNNNNNNNNNNNNNNNNNNNNNNNNNNNNNNNNNNNNNNNNNNNNNNNNNNNNNNNNNNNNNNNNNNNNNNNNNNNNNNNNNNNNNNNNNNNNNNNNNNNNNNNNNNNNNNNNNNNNNNNNNNNNNNNNNNNNNNNNNNNNNNNNNNNNNNNNNNNNNNNNNNNNNNNNNNNNNNNNNNNNNNNNNNNNNNNNNNNNNNNNNNNNNNNNNNNNNNNNNNNNNNNNNNNNNNNNNNNNNNNNNNNNNNNNNNNNNNNNNNNNNNNNNNNNNNNNNNNNNNNNUAUAUAUUCCAUAACAUGCUCCGUGAAGUUUCAGGACUUUUGGAGUUGUGCAUAAUAGGUCUCUAAUAUUUGCUCCUAUUCUAGUCCAGAAUUCCAGCUGCCGACAUUCUCCCUCUUCAUGUAAACCUUAUAAAAUAAGAGAGAAAAGACAUAAGUAUUGUGAUAUAACGUGUAAUAACAGCCCAUAAUGCAAUAAAUAUCAAUAUAAAAGCAUGAUGCAAAAUGGACGUAUCAACUCCCCCAAGCUUAGACCUCGCAUGUCCUCAAGCGAAAGUCGAUGUCGAUAAAUAUGUCCACAUGUUCAGAGAUAGAGGUGUCAAUAAAAUAAAAUACGGACAUGAGGACACCAUGAUCAUCUUUAGAACAACAACAUAUAAUGCCAUAUAAUUUCUUAUGCUCAAGUAACAAUUCAUUCAGAAGAUAAAGUAUGAAUCAAAACUUCAUUGAAAACUAACAAACUAUGAUCUCAGUCAUUGAAGCAAUUGCAAUUUAUCAUAACAUCGGAAAGAGUCAAUAUAAGAGCUUUUCAGCAAGUCCACAUACUCAACUAUCAUUUAAUGUUUCACAAUUGCUAACACUCACGCGAUACUUAUGGGCUCAAAGUUUCAAUCGGACACAGAGAAAGAUAGGGGCUUAUAGUUUCGCCUCCCAACAUUUUACCUCAAGGGUAAUGUCAACAAUAAUACUUUAUGAUAACCUACAUCCGAGUGGAUAUAUAUAUAUAUAUACACACACAUUGAGCUUGCUAAAGGAAAAAGUAUAAAAAAGAAAGGUGAUGAUCACCAUGACUCUUAUAUACGGGUAAAAGAUAAAAGCAAAAGAUAGGCCCUUCGAAGAGGGAAGUAGAGGUUGUCAUGCGCUUUUAUGGUUGGCUGCACAAAAUCUUAAUGCAAAAGAACGUCACUUUAUAUUGCCGCUUGUGAUAAUGACCUUUAUUAUGCAGCCCGUCGCUUUUAUUUCUUCCAUAUCAUAAGUUCGUAUAAAGCUUAUUUUCUUCACACUAAUAGAUCGUACAUAUUUAGAGAGCAAUUUUUAUUGCUUGCACCGAUGACAACUUACUUGAAGGAUCUUACUCAGGUAUGGUGGACUCUCAUGGCAAAACUGGGUUUAGGGAUGUUUGGAAGCACAAGUAGUAUCUCUACUUGGUGCAAAUAAUUUGACUAGCAUGAGAGGGAAAGGCAAGAUAAACAUGUUGGAUGAUCCAUGACAAUAUAACUUCUAUUCGGAUAUAAGAAAACAUAACCUGUUAUGUUGUCUUCCUUUUUCAACAUCAACUUUUUAGCAUGUCAUAUUUUAAUGAGUGCUCACAAUUACAAAAGAUGUCCAAGAUAGUAUAUUUAUAUGUGAAGCCUCUCUUUCUUUAUUAAUUCCUAUUAAUUGCAACAAUGACCAAAACUAUGUUUGUCAACUCUCAAUAACUUUUAUUCAUCAUAUUCUUUGUAUGUGAAGUCAUUACUCUACAUAAGAUCAAUAUAUGAUCCCUUUAUUUCUUUUUGUUCUUUCUUUUAUUUAAUUCCCUCAAGAUCAUAGCAAGAAAGCAAAGCCCUUAAAUCAAAACUACUCUUUAUUAUAUAUAACUCAUGGGCUCGAUUACAUAGAGGGAACAUAAAGUAAAACUCAAUGCUAGAUCAUAUCAAAACCUUUAUUGUACUAGAUCAAGAUAUAACCAAAAGGAUCGAACUAAGAAAAACGAUAAAGAUAGAGGUGUGAUGGUGAUACGAUACCAGGCACCUCCCCCAAGCUUGGUAGUUGCCAAGGGGAGUGCCCAUACCCAUGUUUUUAGGUCUCCUCCUUCGAAGGUGGUGAUGAUGGGGUUGUUGAUGAAGUAGUGUCAUGCAUCGAACAUAGGAGAUUCUCCAAUUUUGUGAAUAAUUCCCUUGAGUGUGAUGAUGUAUUCUUGCAACAUAAUAUUUUCAUGAGUGAGAUACUUGGUUUGCACACGAACUAUUUCAAUGAUCUUGAAAGCUUCAAUUUUAGUAGGAGUAAGAUAAUCGUAGUGAGGUUGAAGGAUGUCUUCUUCUUCGGUUGCCAGAGCUUGAUCUUCCACGGCCUUCUCGAUUUUAUCAUCCUCGUUGAUUUUCUUGAGUUCUUCUUGCUUCAUCUCUAUCUUCAUUAGCCACGCACCGUCGCCCGCAUUGUUGGAGGAGGGGGACGACAUGAUGCCUGGCCUUGAAAACUCUAGCAGAAAACGGCUCAAAACAAAAAUAGGAGAUAUUUCCAUGGUACGGUGGUCAAAACCUUCAUGAUAUUAUAUAAUGAAUUUUUACUGACCAUAAGAAGUAUCGUGCAAGAAAACAGAGUCCGGAAGGCACACGAGGUGGCCACAAGGACGGGGGGCGCGCCCAGGGGAGUAGGGCGUGCCCUCCACCCUUGUGGCGGCCUCAUGUCUCUCUCGGACUACUUUUAAUUUUCCUAAUUUUCUAAAUAUUCCAAAAUGGAGAAAAAUUGCCAUUGGAAACGUUUUGGAGUCGGUUUACUUACCGUACAACAUACCUAUUCCUUUUCAGAGUCUGAAACGUUCUAGAACGUGUCCCUUAUGUACGCCUCCUGUGUUAUGGUAUUAAUAAUAUUGGUUUGAACAUUUAUGGGAGUACCUGAGAUAUAAUGUUUGACUCUUUGACCGUUUACCACCUUCCGAUUUGUGCCUUCGGCGUUGUUGAUUUUUAUGGCACAAGAAUGAUAGACGUCCUCGAUGAUGUAAGGGCCUUCCCAUUUAGAGAGAAGCUUUCCUGCAAAAAAUCUUAAACAAGAUUUGUCUAGCAAAACAUGAUCACCUACAUUAAACUCACACUUUUGUAUCCUUUUGUCAUGCCAUCUUUUAAUAUUUUCUUUAAACAACUUGGCAUUCUCAUAGGCUUGGGUUGUCCAUUCGUCAAGUGAGCAAAUGUCAAAUAACCUCUUCUCACCGGCAAGUUUGAAAUCAUAAUUGAGCUCUUUAAUGGCCCAAUAUGCUUUAUGUUAUAGGUUAAGAGGAAAGUGACAUGCUUUUUCAUAAACCAUUUUAUAUGGAGACAUACCCAUAGGGUUCUUAUAAGUAGUUCUAUAGGCCCACAAAGCAUCAUCAAGUUUCUUAGACCAACUCUUUCUAGAUCUAUUAACAGUCUUUUGCAAAAUUAAUUUAAGCUCUCUAUUACUCAUUAUACUUGACCACUAGAGUAAGGAUGAUAAGGAGAUGCAAUUCUAUGGUUAACAUCAUAUUUAGCAAGCAUUUUACGGAAAGCACCAUGAAUAAAAUGUGAACCACCAUCAGUCAUUAAAUAUCUAGGGACUCUGAACCUUGGAAAAAUAACUUCUUUAAGCAUCUUAAUAGAAGUGUUAUGAUCAACACUACUAGUUGGAAUAGCUUCUACCCAUUUAGUAACAUAAUCAAUAGCAACUAAAAUAUAUGUAUACCCAUUAGAGGAAGGAAAAGGUCCCAUAUAAUCAAAGCCCCAAACAUCAAAUGGUUCAAUAACAAGUGAAUAGUUCAUAGGCAUUUCCUGAUGUCACUACAUGAAUGAAGCACGUUGCCGUCCGCCAAGGUGGACGAGAAAUGCAUACCUGGCCGACGGCAAAGGCCUUUGCCGUACGUUAGCAGACGACAACAGGUCCGGCCGGAUAGGCUACGAUGAAGGCUUCUUUUCCGUCCGCUGGCGGACGACAAAGAUGUAAUGGUCUUUGCCGUCAGCCAGCUGACAACAAAGGUCCUGGAUGGCACAUGUGGUAGCUUACAACCGUUAGGGGGCUAACAGUGCGCUUUGCCAUCCGCUGGCAGACGGCAAAGACCAUUGCACCUUUGCCGUCAGCCAGCAGACGACAAAGUAACCAAAUAGGCCAGCCCCCAGGUUGCACAGGUAGCUGCCACGUGGCAUCUUUGCCGUCUUCUGGCUUAUGGAAAAUCUAUUUGUCGUCUGCCAGCGGACGACAAAGAUCCUGUAUAGCCCCUGUUUUUUCUGUUUUUUCUUAAAUUCAUUCAAUUUGAACACACAAGUUUCAACACACAAAUUUCAGAGAAGACAUAUCCAAUACACAAGUUUCAUCAUAUAUACAUACAUAACCAACACAUAGUUCCAUCCAUACAUAUUACAAAAGUUUCACAUUGUUCAUCCAACACCGUUAUCCAUCCAUCCAUAUAACAAGUUCCGUCCAUGCAAGUUCAUCGAUACAAAAUAAAAGCAGAAAGGGAAAAGAAGUACUCCAUCCAUGCAAGCUUCCAUGAAUUAGAUGAAAUCUGCAAAAUGGGAAACAAGAAAGUUAGAAGAAGACUAGAAGAAGAAGAAUACUAGAAGAAGAAGUAAGCAUACUUAGGUAAAAUGGAGCUAACCUAGCUAAUUAUGCCAUUUUGAAUGAAGUAAGCAUAUUAUGCCAUUUUUUGAUAUAAAGCAACUAAGUAUAUGUCUUUAUUGAGCUAACCUAGGUAACUAAGCAUAUUAGAGCUAACUUAGAGCUAACUUAGAGCUAACUUAGGUCAUUUGGAGAAGAAGAAGAAGAAGAAUACUAGAAAAAGAAGAAGGUUUUUACCAUUUUCCUUCUCAUUCUUCUUCUUUUAUUCUUUCUUUUUCUUCUCUUUCUUUUUCUAUUCUUUCUUUUUCUCCUCUUCCUUGUUUUGUUUCUUCUUAUUCCUUAUGUGUGUCAUUUUAGAGCCUACAUAGGUAAUUAUGCCAUUUUUAGCUAACUAAGCUUAUUAUGUCAAUUUAGAGGAAAAUAAGGUAAGUACAGGUCAUUUUUGUGCUAACAUAAGUAAUUUUGGAGCUAACCUAGCUAAAAUGGAUCAUAUUGGAUCUAACCUAGGUAAACUUGGUUAUUUUGGAGCUAACCUAGGUAAAAUGGACCAUAUUGGAGCUAACCUAGGUUAAAUGGGCCAUUUUGGAGCUAACUUAACUAAUUAUGCCAUUUUUGAGUUAACUAAGCAUAAUUAUGCCAUUUUUUACACAAGUAAGCCAAGUGUAUGUCAUUAUUGAGCAAACAUAGGAAACUAAGCAUAUUAGAGAUAACUUGGCAUAUUAGAGCUAACUUAUGUCAUUUCGGAGGAAACAAACCAAGUAUAGAUCAUUUUGGAGAUCUGACAUACCUAACAUAGUUCACUCCUCCUUCUUCUUCUCCUUCUCCUUCCUCAUCCUCAUGCGCCAAGAGCGGCGAGGCGGUGGAGGUAGUGGGAUGUAGUCUUCUACCACAAUUGGCAUGGUCAUGUCGCCCGGCUGUGGGAUCGUCGGCGCCACCACCAUCGCGAGGUCAUUGUCAGGCACCACCACCAUCGUGAGGCCAUCUUCAGGCAGCACCAUCGCUAGGUUAUCCUCAGCCACCACCAUCUCUUGGCCAUCGUCAGCCACCACCAUCGCUAGGUCAUCCUCAGCCACCACCAUCUCCUGGCCAUCGUCAUCCACCACCAUCGCUAGGUUAUCAUUAGCCACCACCAUCUGGUCCCCAUCGUUAACCUGCACCUCCUCAUCCCCACUCCGCUCCUAUUCUUCCCCACUCCAUUCAGGACCAUCCUCGUUGCUGCUUUUGCUGCAGCCAGAGUCGCUGCUGCUUUGGCUGUAGCCAGAGUCACUGCUGCUACUCCCAUUGCCUGACCAAAUGCAACAAUGACCAUUAAUAGUUGAUGUGAGACAAAGCCAAAUGUAGAGGAAGAAGAGGCAUAACGUACUGGCAUCAUCAUCGUACUGGUAGCGCAUGCGACACAUAGUCGUGUUGAACACCUUCACGGUGAGCGUGUCGUCGUCGUACCUGAAGAGAAGGAAGUACCUGUGCCGCAGGUCGUAGGCACGGUAGAACUGCUCCCAGCCACGACACAGGUACAUGUGGCCGUACCUGAUCACCAACUCCACGUCCCAAUGCCUGCGAAGCCCGCUGCCAGCCUGUCGCAGCUUCACAUUCUUUGGCCGAUGGCUGUCCAGCAUCUUCAUAAAGUGUCAGGCAGCCUCUGCAGUUUGGGACAAGGAGUGAUGUAGCAACCAAUAGAGUUAUCAUAAUGAGAUGGGUGAAGGGGAGAUCUCUCCUUUUAUAUACCUGCCUCCUAGAGGAAGUCCCAAGUAUGAUACUAAAGAACUCGAAAGCAUCCAACUCGUACUCCAGUGUGGUAGAGCGGAGCCUGCGGUGGCGGCUUCGCCCCAUCUUUGAUAAGCAGCAGAAAAGACCAAUUACUACCCUUACAACAUUAUAGCAGCAAAAGUUUUGAGCAGAAGAUAAUCAACUACACGAAGUUAUCAUUUCACAUUAAAAAAGAAAUGCACUUGUGGAGAUAUGAUGGCAACAGCUUGAACCAAAUCAUACCAAAACUGUUCCGGGCCGCCCAGAGAGGUGGAGACUACCUCAAGGUUACACAUUUAUUUACACUAGUGCAGAACUAGUGAGUGAAACGUAAGAAAUUUACAGCAAUUCUGCGUUGAAGAAACUUUAGUGACCAUCACUCGCUUGCUCCUGUUGCGCAUUUAGACAACUGCAAGUACUCCCUCUUUUCUGGUUUUUCAUUAGGCAUGUAUAGUACUUUCUAGAUCAUCAAUUGGACAAUUGAAAUAUGACCUACAUCUCCCAAAGUGCAUAUCAGUGGAUCCUCUUUCGAAUACGCAUCCAGUUCAGUGGCAUAUUUUUGUGACAUGUAAUACAUACUCAAAUCAAAUUGAUCAUCUAGAAAUGUUCACUUGUCUUACAAACUGAGCUUGAAGAUUAGGAUGGCAUAACCAGGUAUGCCAAUUCAAUUAUUCGAUCCUUAAUUAGAAGGAAACAAAACACAAUGCAAAACAAUAUCUACUCCUGCCAAACAAUUCUAUCUAGAAGAUUAGAUGCAUAUGAAUUAAGAUAAGGGGUCUCUAACAAGGACUAUUGAUGCUUGAAAGUCAGGUCUCAGCAGAUUAAGAAACAAUUUUGUUUCUCUGCCUCCAUGUGAACACCUAAUGUAAAGGAGAACAAGAGCACUUGGAGGAAUAUUACCAGUGGAGGAGAGCGAGUACCUUGAGGCUUGAGCAGGGGCGGAGAGGGNNNNNNNNNNNNNNNNNNNNNNNNNNNNNNNNNNNNNNNNNNNNNNNNNNNNNNNNNNNNNNNNNNNNNNNNNNNNNNNNNNNNNNNNNNNNNNNNNNNNNNNNNNNNNNNNNNNNNNNNNNNNNNNNNNNNNNNNNNNNNNNNNNNNNNNNNNNNNNNNNNNNNNNNNNNNNNNNNNNNNNNNNNNNNNNNNNNNNNNNNNNNNNNNNNNNNNNNNNNNNNNNNNNNNNNNNNNNNNNNNNNNNNNNNNNNNNNNNNNNNNNNNNNNNNNNNNNNNNNNNNNNNNNNNNNNNNNNNNNNNUGAGUCGGGGCGGCACGGGGGCGGGGCGGCAUGGGGUCGCGCGAGAUGGGGGCGGGGCGGGCAGGGACAAGGGUAGCGCGGGGCGGGCGGUGACUGGGGUGAUGCGGGGCGGCGGUGGCUCGGGCACGGGGCAGAGAGAGGGGACAGAGAGAGAUCGAGGGGUUGGGCGCGAGCGUGUUUGAUUUUUAGUUAGGGCACGGUUCUUUGCUGUCUGCUAGCAGAUGUCAAAGAGCCCAGCUAACUGACAUUAGUUUGUGCACUUUCUUUGCCGUCAGCUAGCGGACGACAAAGAAAGUGGCCGUUAAGUGGCUGUCGCUAGUGGUCCACCCUCCCACUUUGCCGUCAGCGAGCGAAUGACAAUGCAUCUAUGCUGUCAGCUAGCGGACGACAAAGAGCCGCCUGAUGGCAAACCAUAUCUUUGUCGUCAGCUUAGUCUUUGCCGUCAGUUUCAAUUUACCUUAUGGCAACAACCUUCUUUGCCAUCAGCCAAUUGACGGCAAAGAGCCAACUGACGGCAAAGAUCCUGAUUCCAGUAGUGCAUCUACUAAUAUUACCAAUUCUCUGGCAUUCAUCACAAGAUAAGACAAACUUACGGGCAUCCCUAAAGAGAGUGGGCUAGUAGAAACCGGAUUGCAAUACCUUAUGUGCAGUUCUAUCUCCAGCGUGGUGUCCUCCGUAAGACUCGGAGUGACACUUGCAUAGAAUCUGUUCCUGUUCAUGCUCAGGUACACAACGUCUAAUAACACCAUCUACUCCUACUUUAUAAAGGUAUAGGUCAUCCCAGAAGUAAUGUCUUAAAUCAUAGGGGAACUUUUUAUUUUGUUGGUAUGUGAAACUAGUUGGUAUAAAUUUAGCAACAAUAUAAUUCGCAUAAUCAGCAUUCCCUGGAGUAUUACGAGAAGCAUUUAUGACAUUUAAUUGUUCAUCAGGAAAGCUGUCAUCAAUAGGUAGUGGGUCAUCUAGAACAUUUUCUAACCUAGACAAGUUGUGUGCAACGGGGUUCUCAGCCCCCUUUCUAUCAAUAAUAUGCAAAUCAAAUUCUUGUAGCAAGAGAACCCAUCUAAUAAGUCUAGGUUUAGCAUCUUUCUUUUCCAUUAGAUAUUUAAUAGAAACAUGAUCAGUGUGAACAGUUUGUUUGGAAUCAACAAUAUAAGGUCUAAACUUAUCACAUGCAAAUACAACUGCUAAAAAUUCCUUUUCAGUAGUAGCAUAAUUUCUUUGGGCACUAUUUAGAGUUUUAUUAGCAUACUGGAUAACAUUUUAUUUCUUAUCAACUCUUUGUCCUAGAACAACACCAACAACAUAAUCACUAGCAUCACACAUAAUUUGAAAGGAUGAAUUCCAAUCAGGUGGCUGAACAAUAGGUGCAGAAAUCAAGGCUUUCUUAAGUAUUUCAAACGCUUCUACACAAUCGUCAUCAAAAGCAAAAGGAACAUCUUUUUGCUAGAGAUUAGUGAGAGGCUUAGAAAUUUUAGAGAAGUCUUUAAUAAACCUCCAAUACAAACCAGCAUGACCAAGGAAACUUCUUAUACCUUUGAUAUCUUUAGGACACGACAUUUUUUCAAUAGCAUCUACUUUAGCUUUAUCAACUUCAAUACCUCUUUCUAAAACUUUAUGCCCCAAGACAAUACCUUCAUUAACCAUAAAGUGGCACUUCUCCCAAUUCAAGACAAGAUUAGUUUCUUCACAUCUCUGCAAAACUCGGUCAAGGUUGCUUAAGCGAUCAUCAAAAGAAGUUCCCUAGACGGAGAAAUCAUCCAUGAAAACCUCAGCAAUCUUUUCACAAAAGUCAGAGAAUAUAGCAGUCAUACAUCUUUGAAAGGUAGCAGGUGCAUUGCAUAAACCAAAAGGCAUACGUCUAUAAACAAAGGUACCAAAAGGGCAAGUAAAAGUAGUUUUCUCUUGAUCCUCUUUUGACACAGGUAUUUGAGAGAAACCAGAAUAACCAUCUAGAAAGCAAAAAUGAGUAUGUUUGGAUAGUCUUUCUAGCAUUUGAUCAAUAAAAGGUAGAGGGCAAUGAUCUUUUUAGUAGCUUUAUUUAAUUUGCAAAAAUCAAUUACCGUUAUAUAACCUGUAACAAUUCUUUGAGGAAUCAAUUCAUUCUUAUCAUUAGGCACAACAGUAAUACCUCCCUUCUUAGGGAUGCAAUGAACGGGACUUACCCAUUGACUAUCAACAAUAGGAUAAAUUAUACCUGCCUCCAGAAGCUUUAGUAUUUCAUUUCUUACCACUUGUUUCAUCUUAGGAUUUAACCGUCGUUGGUGAUCAACAACGGUUUAGCAUCUUUCUCCAAUUUAAUUUUGUGCUGACAUAGAGUGGGACUAAUGCCCUUAAGAUCAUCAAGAGUAUAUCCAAUAGCAGCACGGUGCUUCUUCAGGGUUUUCAAUAAUUUCUUUUCUUCACGCUCUGAAAGGUUAGCACUAAUAAUAACAGGAUAUAUCUUCUUUUCAUCAAGAUAAACAUAUUACAGAGUAUCAGGUAAUUUCUUAAGCUCAAACACGGGAUCACCCUUGGGUGGAGGAGGAUCCCCAAGGAUUUCAACAGGAAAAUUGUGUUUCGAAAUAGGUCCUUGAUUAAAGAAUACUCCAUCUAUUUCCCUUCUUUCAUUCAUAAACAUAUCAUUUUCAUGGUCUAGCAAAUAUUAUGAUAAAGGAUCAUUAGGAGGCACGUCAAUAGAAGCAAGACCAAUAAUUUCAUCCUUACUAGGCAAUUCUUUAUCAUGGGGAUGUCUACGAAAUUUAGAGAAAUUAAAAUCAUGAGACAUAUCCCCUAAACCAACAAUAACAAUAUCUUUCUCGCAGUCUAUCUUAGCAUUAACAGUAUUCAAGAAGUGUUGGGGAUAUGACUACGAGAUAUGACCCGCCAAGGAGGGGCCAGGUCAAUCACAAUGGUGGGUUACUUAAGUGAAGCUCGAAGAGUAUACAUGGUGAUGGUUUACGAUAAGGCUUAUAAUAGGCCCAAGCCCAUAGGCGGCUUAAGGCCCGUAAGUAUAAACCGCCAUGUAUGAAUAAGACUUGUAAAGUAAGGCAUGUAAGAGUUGUCACCAAGCCGGACACGUUGUAUGAGCCGGCUGGGACUCUAUAGGCCACAGGGCGUCAACCCGUGUAUAUAAGGGGACGACCCAGCAGCGGCUUAGGGCAAGAAACAACAGAUCGAGAGCCAAGCUAGCGUAUUUCGCUCCUUGGUCAUCGAAACCUAGCAAUACCACAUCAACUGGACUAGGCUUUACCUUCACCGCAAGGGGCCGAACCAGUAUAAACCUCUCGUGUCCUUUGUCCCGAUUAACCCCUUUAAGCUUCGUAGUUGCGAUGGAUCCACGACUAAGUCCUUUCACUAGGUCAUCUGUCGUGACAAUUCCAUGACAGUUGGCACCCACCGUGGGGCCAGCGCACGGUGGAUUUGAGUUCUUGAAGGGCAGCUUAGAAGGGCUCAAGGGAUACGCUGUGGGCCGGAUGACCAAGAGUCGUCAUUUCAAGCUCUACAUCGACGGCGCAGGCUGGGGCCCCGACGCCGGCUCAAUUGAGUACGGGUAUCGGGUCCUCUUUGGCGGAAUCAACGUCUUCAUCGGCUGGAUCGGCGAGCCGGGUCUUAAGCCGGACAUCUGUAUCGACCUCAUCGAGACGGCUCAGUGUACGAGACCCGUCCGGACUCAGCCCACCGUGAGGCGUGCCUUCGUGGGUUGCAUCCAUGGAGGGGAGUUUUCUGAAGGAUCUGUAGAUGGCGGUGAGACGACUGUCUACUCUGACGGUGAGUGAGACGGAUUCAUUGUAUCAACUACAAGAUGGCGGGCUUGGGGGCUGUUCCGAUGGCAGCAAUAUUCCAGACUCCUUUGAGCCGCCGAACAGAGCAGGGAUCUUCAUGACUGGUACACAGCCCGCUCAAAACUCUAUGGCUGCGGCAGUGAUAACCAUUGGGUCGGCAGCGGCUGGGUCAGGAGACCCUGCGCGCCCACCAGCUCAGGUGCUGAUGGAUCUCAUGGAUAGGAUGACGGCCCUAUUGACCGCCGUGGUCGAACCGACAGAUAAGGCUCAGCAUGAUGCAGAGGUGGCACUGUUAGAUGGGGAGGUAGCACAAGCCAAGGAAAACUUGGCGGCGGAGGACGUCAGGAUGGCUGCAGAGCGGGCGGCUUUGGACGCUCAGGCUCAGGAGCUCCAAUCAGAGGCUUUUCGGCUCACGAUGGAUCUGAACGCAUCAAACGAGGUCAUGAGGAGAAGGCACCAGAAGACUCAAUCACGUCUGCCUCUGACUUACGAUCCUAGGAACCUCUUCCACACACCCGAGGCCGGUCCCAGUAGCCUGCCGAAGGCAAACCGUAUUAUAACACCCGGGGCUGGGGCGCCGGUUCAACCGUGGGCUAUGGAACCCCCUCGUGUGAAUACUGCUCCUCCUCAUUAUACAUCAACACCAUCGGGUCAUUUUUCUAACCCUUUGGAGAAUCUGAUCGCUGCAUCGGCAUGUUUGGCGGCUCUCCCGGUGGAAGGCGACUCCCCGACGGCGAUCGAAACGCGAAGGGUCAGAGAACUUCUUCAGACAGCUCUGGCACAGCUGGAGUCAUACUCUUAUAGUCGAGAUAGGAUUCAUUCAACCCCUCGCCCAAGCCGGAGCCCGAGCUAGGCAUAUGGAUUCAGCGGCUGUGUCAAGCAAUGCCCAGCGCCGUAACCAGCCGCGCAGGCAUGACCCGGCGCAUGAUGGAGCUCUUAACUUGGUUGACCAGGAUAGGAUCCGCCAAGAGGCUAAGCGGGCAGUUCAGCAGGCAGCUGAGCAGGCGGCUCACCAAGCUUUUCGGAUUUAUCCGACGACCUCUGUCGAAGCAGGUGUGGCCACAAGAACAGGAGGCGUCCCUUGCUUGGUGCUGGCUCUGCGUAAUGAGCAUUUGCCAAAGGAUUUCAAGGGUCCUCGUUAGGUGCCUAAUUACACGACCGACAUAUAGCCCGAGGCAUGGAUUGAGAGUUAUGAGAUGGCCAUGGAAUUGCUGUAGGUCAGUGAUGCAGCAAUGGCUAAAUACUUCAUUAUGAUGCUGUAUGGAACGUCCCGCACUUGGCUAAAGGGACUGCCACCCAAUUCCAUUGGUUCCUGGGCCAAGUUAAAGGAACAUUUUAUUCAGAACUUUAAAGAUACAUGCAAGCAGCCCAUGUCGAUUGUGGACUUGACUAAUUUCAAGCAAGAGGAAGGUGAGUCCACGACCCAUUGGGUGCGCCGGGUAAAGGAAAUAAUACAUUCAUCUGAUAAGAUGGAUGUCGGCUCUGCGGUCUUAAUGUUGGAGAGAAAUUGCCAUUUUGAACCUCUGAAACAGAAGCUAGGGCGGCUCAAACGCGAUUGUAAUGUCAUGGGCCAGCUGAUGGCGGCUCUAGUCAAAUAUGCCGAUUCAGAUAGUACCAAAGAUCCUGCAUCUGAUGAAGAGAAGACAGGGAAGGAAAAGAAGAACGGCGACCCUAAGGGCCUUCAGCAUAAACCAACGAAUCAAGGAGGUAAUAACAAACGUAAGGCUGACAGCAGCUCGGAGUUUAUAGCGAAUACGCAAGGCAACAAUCAAUGGCGUAAGGGGAGGCCACCUCCUCGGUCAGGCGGGUAAGGCCCACCCUCGAGCAGUUGCUAAAUGAACCAUGUCCAAGACACGACACCCGGGGGAAGCCGUCCGCCCAUCUAUGGAAAGACUGCACGAUCAUGAAGGCUUUCAAGAAUUCUAACAUGUUCGACGGUAAUCAUGGAUAUGGUAGCGACUCAGGCGGUGAAGGCUUUCAUGGCUCGGGCAGCAAUUCAGGCGGUGGCGGUUUUCAUGGCCAGGCCCCCCAAGGUAAACAAAGUGGUUAUAAUCAGCAAUCUGGCCAAGGAGGUCAGCAGCAGCAGCAAUCCGGGUUUCAGAGUAACCCAAAGCAGCUAAGUAGUGGGCAGUUUCAUGUGUUCUCCACCAGUUUAUGAAAAAGGGACCAGAAACUUCAUAAGAGAGCGGUCAACACUGUUGAGCCGGCGGUUCCUCAUUAUUUGAGAUGGUCUGAGCAACCUAUUCUGUGGAGUAGGGAGGAUCACCCUCCCCGGGUUGACAAUUCGGCAUUUGGCUUUGGUGGUGGCGCCUCAGGUUGGUGGAUAUAAAUUCACUAAAGUACUCAUGGACGGAGGCAGUAGCAUCAACAUCCUCUAUUAUGAGACAUUCCGUUGCAUGGGGUUGACCGACAAAAGUCUUAAGACGUCCAACACUGUUUUUCAUGGAGUGGUGCCUGGUAAGUCGGCAUAUCCAGUGGGUAAUAUUGAGCUGGAGGUAGCUUUUGGAGAUGAGCAUGAUUCCAGGGCUGAGAAAUUAACCUUUGAGGUGGUAAAAAUCAAGAGCCCAUAUCACGUCCUGUUUGGAUGACCGGCUUAUGCAAAAUUCAUGGCACAGCCAUGUUAUGUUUAUCUGCAGCUCAAGAUGCCGGGUCAUAAAGGUACUAUCACAGUACAUGGAAGCCAGAAGAUAGCAUUAGAGUGUGAGGAAGGCGAUGCUGCUUACGCAGAAUCUGUUUGCGUGACGGGGGAGUUAAAAUUCUACAAAGACAACGUUGACCCGACAGACAUAACAUAUUUGAAUAAGCCAACUACGGAGCAUGAGCCGGCGUUGAAGAUUAAGUCCACUUACGAUACCAAGAUGUUUGAUUUUGUGCCUGGCGACGCAUCCAAAUAAUUUAUUACCAGUGCUAAUUUGCAUCCCAAAUAGGAAGACGCACUCAUCGAGUUCAUCCGUGAGAACCGGGACAUCUUUGCAUGGAAGCCUUCUGACAUGUCGGGUGUACCGAGAGAACUCGCUGAGCACACUCUCAAUAUUGAUCCAAAGUUUAAGCCGGUCAGGCAGUUUCUUCGGCGGUUCAACGAGGAAAGGCGCAAGGCUAUUGGAGAAGAGGUGGCCCGACUUUUGGCAGCCGGGUUCAUUAUUGAAGUCUUUCAUCCAGAGUGGUUGGCUAACCCGAUGCUCGUGCUUAAAAAGAACAUCACCUGGCGUAUGUGUGUGGAUUAGACGAACUUAAACGAAGCUUGUCCGGCUGAUCCUUUUGCUCUCCCUCGUAUUGAUCAAAUCAUUGAUGCUACGACAGGUUGUGAGCGUUUGAACUUUUUGGAUGCUUAUUUUGGUUACCAUCAGAUCAAGAUGGCGGUUAAGGACCAGGAGAAGACAACUUUCAUUACUCCAUUUGGAGCCUUUUGCUAUGUGUCCAUGUCCUUUGGACUUAAGAGUGCCCAGGCGACUUAUCAGCGGUGUGUGCAGAACUGUCUUCAUAAUCAGAUUGGGCGUAAUGUUCAUGCUUAUGUGGACGAUAUAAUGGUGAAAUCCAGAGAGAAGGAAACCUUGGUAGAUGAUCUGAAGGAAACCUUUGAUAACCUCCGAGUCUACAAGAUGAUGCUUAACCCGGCCAAGUGUGUUUUUGGAGUACCGGCGGGUAAGCUUUUGGGUUUUUUGGUGUCUAACAGAGGCAUUGAAGCUAACCCGGAGAAAAUAAAGGCGAUUACGUCUUUGGCUAAGCCGGCGUGCAUCAAUGAUGUUUAGCGGCUGGCGGGUCGUGUUGCAGCUUUAAGCCGUUUCAUAAGCCGAUUAGGUGAGAAGGCUAUGCUGUUAUAUAAAAUGAUGAAGAAGAUGGAUGAUUUUGUCUGGAGUGAUGCUGCUAACUCUGCCUUUGAAGAUCUGUAAAGACAGCUCGCCGAGCCGCCGGUUCUUGCUGCUCCCGUUGAUAAGGAGCCACUGUUGUUAUACGUGGCUGCUAACACACGUGUUGUCAGUGUGGCCAUUGUAGUAGAGUGCAAAGAGGCUAGCAAGGAAUAUCCGGUUCAAAGGCCAGUUUACUACAUCAGUGAGGUGCUCAUUAAGUCCAAACGGAGAUAUCCGCAUUGGCAGAAACUUGUUUAUGGGGUGUUCAUGGCGAGCCGGAAGCUUAAGCAUUACUUUCAAGGUCAUCCUAUCACUGUGGUUAGCUCGGCUCCUUUAGGAGAUAUUAUUCAAAAUAGAGAAGCCACGGGACGAGUCGCCAAGUGGGCUAUUGAACUUGGGUCUCAUAGUUUAAAGUAUGUGCCACGUACUGCCAUCAAAUCUCAAGCACCGGUGGAUUUCAUUAACGAUUGGACGGAGUUGCAGAUACCUGAAGAGAAGCCAGACAACACAUAUUGGACGAUUCAUUUUGAUGGGUCCAGACAAUGGGAAGGCUCAGGGGCUGGAGUUGUUUUAACUUCUCCUCGAGGUGACAAACUUUGUUAUGUGUUGCGGUUGAUGUUUCCUUGUACUAACAACACAGCUGAGUAUGAGGCCUUACUCCAUGGUCUUCGAAUGGCUAAAGAAAUGAGUUUAAGCCGGGUACGGUGCCUUGGCGACUCAGAUUUGGUGGCUCAGCAAGUAUCAGGCAAGUGGGAUUCUAAGGAUCCUCUCAUGGCGGCUUAUCGCCAUGAGGUUGACCCUAUUGCUGGACACUUCAAGGGUCAUCAAGUGGAGCACAUUGACCACAAAAAGAACGAAGCAGCCAAUGCUUUAAGCCGGUUGGGAUCUCAGCGUAAGCCGGUGCCGCCAAACACUUUUUUAGAUGUUCUGCAUAACCCUUCUGUCAAGUUGCCUAUAGAGGACGACUUGGCUGUUCCAGACCCGGAAGCACAAUUGGUGGUGGCUCUUCAUGUCAUUCCAGAUUGGAUAGUGUCGUAUUUGUCUUAUAUGACCCGAAGCGAGUUGCUGGAGGAUGAUACUUUGGCUAGACAGAUAACCUGACGAUCUAAGCCAAUGACAAUUUCCAAUGGUGAGUUGUAUCAUCGUAGUGUCACCGGAGCGUUUCAACGUUGUGUCUCUCCUGAAGAAGGUCAAGAAAUUCUUCGUGAGAUCCAUGAAGGGGAUUGUGGCCAUCAUGCCGGUUCAAAGUCUCUUGUGGCAAGGCUUUCCCUCAUGGUUUUUACUGGCUAACGGCUCACGCUGAUGCGGAGGAUCUGGUCAGUAGGUGCGAUGGGUGUCAAAAAUUUGCACGACGGGUGCAUGUGCCAGCUCAGGAAUUGCGGAUAAUUCCAAUUACUUGGUCAUUUGCAAUCUGGGGACUUGACAUGGUUGGACCUUUCAAAAGAUCCGAAGAUAAAAAGACGCACAUUUUGGUGGCAGUGGACAAGUUCACAAAGUGGGUUGAGGCAAAGCCUGUUAGUAAGUGUGAUGCGGCCACAACGGUUCAAUUCAUGAAGAAAGUGAUCUUUCGUUUUGGUUUUCCACACAACAUUAUUACUAACAAUGGCACCAACCUGUCCCAAGGAACUAUGGAAGAAUUCUGCCAAUGGGAACAUAUCCGACUUGAUGUUUCAUCAGUAGCUCACCCCCAAUCCAAUGGUCAAGCUGAAAGAGCCAAUCGGGAAAUCCUGAAAGGUCUAAAACCCCGGCUUAUGGUCCCUUUACAGCGAACGCCGGGUUGUUGGGUGGAAGAGUUACCCUCUGUGAUACGGAGCAUCAAUACUACCCCUAACAGAUCUACGGGUUAUAUGCCUUUCUUCAUGGUUUAUGGAGCAGAGGCAGUUCUGCCCAGUGACAUCCGUCAUGACUCGCCCCACGUGGCGGCUUACAUUGAAGCUAAUAAAGAACAAGCCUGUCAAGAUGCGCUUGACUUAUUGGAUGAAGAGCGUGACUUAGCGGCAGCCCGCUCAACGAUUUACCAACAGGACCUGCGCCAUUCCCACAGUCGCCGGGUUAAGUCAAGAACCUUUCAAGAAGGUGACCUAGUGCUCCGUCUCAUCCGGGAUCAGUUUGAUGCGCACAAGCUAUCCCCACCUUGGGAAGGACCCUUUGUGGUCAGCAAGAACUUGAAUAACGGGUCAUACUACCUUAUCAAUGUUCGAGAGCAUAAAGACUCACGUAAGUUGGAGGAGGAGACCCGCCGGCCAUGGAAUAUUGCUCAUCUUCGGUCUUACUACACUUGAGCCACCGACUCUCAUAAUGUACAUACUUUGACGUUGUAUAUAUUAUGAUAAGUAAUAAAGCAUGACCUCUAUCCUUUUUCCUUAAUGAUCACAUGUCUUUGUUAUCUAAGUAUAAGACGACCAAUUGGAGGUUGAUCGUAUUCGAAUCUAGCUUAAUCCUCUUGGUCCGACUCAUGAUUGUAUUCGAAUCUAGCCGUUAAAACCUCAUGGUCACUAGGGGGCUUCCUGUUCAAACAUAGGUCGUAUUCGAACCAAAGAGAACAUAGCUGUCAUAACCCUCUUGAUCAGCACAAAGCCAAACUCACUAGGGGGCUUCUUGAUCAUAUCCGAAUCAUAGCUUAACCCAGUUUGGGUCUGACUUGGAUCGUACUCGAAUCAGGGUCGUUAAAAACCUCUCAAGGUCAUUUGGGGGCUUCCUGUUCAAACAUACGUCGUAUUCGAACCAAAGAGAACAUAGCUGUCGGUACCCUCUUGAUCGGCGCAACGCCAAAGCCACCGGGGGCUACAUGACCAUAUUCGAAUCCUAGCUUAACCCCUUUGGUUCGGCUUACUGAUCGUAUUCGAAUCAGAAGCCUCCAAAUUUUUCUUGAUGCUUGAUUUACAUUGUUUGAAAGAUAAUCUUUUGUUUUACUGGUUUUUGUUGUCUAGAAUCUAACUGUAAGUAUGGUUUUAAUUUAAGCCGGCUUGGUUCUUUGACAAUGAGUUGCCAAGGUAUAACAGUCAUCAUACAUAUGGAAUUAUUGACUUCUAAAGAUUGGGUUGUCACCCUUACUGCCCGGGUCACAUAAGCGGGCAGUCCAGAAUCAAAGAGCACAGGUAUGACAUUGUCGUUCAUAAACAGACUUAUCUGUGUUUUUUCUUUAAUCAAAGGCUUUCUAGCCUUAUUUAUCUUUACAUCUAGCCCUGAUUAUUCCUCUAUGGUAAUUUCAUAGUUAUGUAUUGGGUAUUUUGACCCGUGCAGUGACAAACCACCAGGACAGUUUCUCCUCUUUUACAUACAUGAAUAGGUUUAAACACUACAAAUAUGAUAAAGGAUAUAAAGCAUAUAUUGACAUGACGGAUAAAAAAAGUCGUAUGCAAUAUGAUAUGCACGACGACAUAGGCAGAACAUGCAGUUUUAAGCUAGCCUAUUACAAGGCGUUGGGAGCCCAAACGUUUAAAAUUAUUUUUUCUCCUAAGCAGAUGUUAAGCUAAGGCCGGUUCAUUAAGUCUUAGCCGGAUUAUUUGGAUGGUUACGACUCCUCCCUUGUCGGUUCAUCUUCCUCCACUAGUUGGAAACUGGGCUUGGACCAAUCAAAGCCAUGAAGAGCAACGAACUCAGCUUCAUCAUCAAUUAGACCAGACGGGUCAAUUUCUGGGGCAAAGGUGUGUUGGCGAACGAGCGGGAUGAGAUCUGUCACUUUAUACGAAGGAGUCGCCAUCUUUUUAUUCUCAACGUCAAAACCCGACUGAUACUUAUCAAUACUGGUCUCAUCGCCAAGGAUGGUGGCAUGAGGACGAACUCCCCUCACACAAGCAGCAAGAUCAUCUUGAUCAAACGGAGUCCCAUCUUCCUUAAGGCUGGGAUACCCCUUGGGUACAUCCGCCGGGUCUAGCUCUGGCACCCAGGCUUUGGAGCGGCUUAGAGCAGUUAGGGCUCCGUCUCUUGCACAAGACCGCUUGACUUAUUGGAAUCUGGUGGGUAAGAUACAUAAUUUCUUCAAGACAUCCCUCAAGAGGUUUGGUCCUUGGUUGGCUGGGGAAAUAAUGGCAACCGCCCGUUGAGCUCCAGUAUACAAAUGCUCUACCAGGGUGUAAACCGCCUUAAGUUUCAAGCGGUUUUGGCUCAGAUUGCUGCUCCACGGACCUAUGAGUAUUUUAAAAGUUUAAGAAGGCGGCCUAUAUUUUUGGUAAAAAUAGAGUUUAAGUAAAUAAUGCAAUGACUCACUGAAGAUUGCAGAGACCAUCUGAGACACACGGUUCUUUAAACUGGUGAGUUCCGUGGUAACCUCCUGGAGCAGAGCCGCCACGGCUGUCUCAGCACGCUGUAUCAGCAAGGUUUUUUCAUCGGCCCAGGAUUUUUUCUCUACAUCAAAACUAGUCUUCAGUUUCUCUGCUUCAGAUAGGCUCAACUGGAGUUUGCAGUCAGCAUUCUUUAUCUCAGUCUCUUGAGCCGCCAACCGGGUUUUCGCACCAGUCAGUUGAGAAUCCAAUUCAGUUAUGGCGGUCUACAGACAUGCACAGGUGUGUCAAAAAUUUAUUACAAUAAAGGUCAUAAUGAUUAAAGUCCCAAGUGCUUUGCAAUAGAACACCAGUCGGCACUUGGGGGCUAAUGUCUGACAAAGCAAUUUUUAACUGCAAAAAUGACUCUUCUAUGAUUAAAGUCCCAAGUGUUUUACAAGUAACAAAGCUUGGCACUUGGGGGCUAAUGCAUGAUAUUCAGAAAGUUUUUCAUCUUGAGCCGGAUAACAAUAUUAGUUUGGACUGAUUCAAGAUAGUUAUGAAGUUAAGUACCGGCUCAUUCAUGAUGAAUUAAGACGGCCCUUGGGGACUACAGGUGAAAUUAUGUUAAUCAGAUAACUCCGGUUAAACAUUCUAAACCGGACUUGGAAAAAUCUAGGUCAGAAUGUCAACAUAUAUCACAAGUCUACAGAUCAUUCAAGUUUAUCAUAAUCAGGAGACUUGGGGGGCUGGCAGAGCAUAUAAGUUAAUGAAAGCUGGAGAUCAUACCUCAUAUUUCAAUUGCAGCUAUUUGACCAUCUCAAUUUCGGAGUCCCGGCUAGAAUGCACGUGACUAAGAUAGCCAGAUAGCACAUCACUAAUGCUCAGGUGAGCAUAGUGAGAGAUGUCAAAGCGAAAUUUCUGCUUUUCCAAAGCCUCUUGCUUGGCGGAGUGUCUGGCCAGUACCGUUGGAUUGCCCGGUUCAACAAAUCUACUACCAAUGAUUAAAACGUCACUGUCGUAAGUCCCGACGGGUUAGCUGAGCUUGACGGUUCAACAGUAGAUGGGUUGAGAACAAUUUCGUUAACAGCCGACUCAGGAGGAUCUAUUCGAACGUUGACAGCAGGGUCUUCUGGUGCUUUAGGUUGUCCCAGGGCAGGAGUUGGCAGUGCCGGUUCAGCGGUGUCCGGGUUUUCAGUCGACUUCAUCACCCUGUCUUUCUUGGGUUUUGCAUGACUGCUAAUAGGAAUUUGAUGAGUCAGUAUAAUGAUAUAGACAUAAAGAUAUAGAAGAAGGAUAAUUAUCUUUCCCCAGGGGCAGUCUUGAAAGCCGGAAGUUGGGUUUGUGGGGAAUCACCAGAAGAACGAGAGACCUCCUACAAAAGUGAAAUCACAAUUUAAAAGAGCAAGGAAGUAGAUUGUUGACAAAAGCAAAAGUCAAAAGUGAAAGAAACCUCAUUCUGGCGUUUCCGAGGAGUUUUCGGUAAGCCGAAGGGCAGUUCAUUGUCGUCACUGGUCUGGGCCUGACGGCGGCUCCCAUGUUGCUGUUUUUUCAAAAUAAAAUGGGGAUCCAAAUAAGCCAAAGGGUGUGAAAACCUUACUUUCCGGGUUACCAGUCGAGGUUUCUGUCUUGGCAAAGGUUCUGAGUUGGAGGAAAUAGUUACCUCUUCUACUGCCUGGCUGGGCCCCGUGUCAUCCUGGCAAUAGUCAAUGUCAAUAAGGUUGUUAAAAAGCAGGCCAAGAGAGUCAAGGGCAACCUCCGACUCAGAAACAUCAUCCAUCUUGAACAUAUCAAAAGCAGUUCUUUUCUUCUUGGAUUUUCAGGUUGUCUUCUUGGCGGCUAUGGCGGCGGCUCUAGCCUUCUUGGCAGCUUCAUGAUCAUAUUUGGCCUUCCAAAAGUCAUAUUUGGCCUGUAGGCAAAUAAUAGGUUUAAAGUCAUGCAAGUACUUAACUACUGAAGUAAAAAGGGGGUCAAGGGGAAUUACCUCUGGUGCCGGAUUAAGUUUGCAGAAAGGAUUCAAUCCAACUUUACUGCAGUCCUCAUAUUUACUGUUUACGAGGGUGGUUGACAUUUCAACAAUGGCCUCUUCAGUCAGUUGUACAGAACUAUGAUGCAGAGGGUCAUCUGGUCCUCUGGCAUAGUUAUACAUCAAGUCAGAGGGGCGGCUCAGAGGGAUGACCCGCCAUGCGAUCCAACAACGGAUAAAGUCAACUCCAGUUAAGCUGUUUCCCAACAAGGCUUGAAUCCUUUUGAUGCUUGGGAUGAGCUUCUUACGUUCAGCGAUAGUAAGCUUGUCAGGGAGUAAAAACUUAGAGUCAAGAUGCUUCGUGCGAUAACCCGGCAUUGGUUUUUCAUCAGCUAGCGACAUGUCUUUUCAAUAAAACCAAGUUUGGUUCCAAUCCUUGGGAUGGCUUGGUAAGACUACUAAGGGAAAGACAGCACCCUGUCGGCGCUGAAUCGAAAUUCCACCAAGUUCUUGGCUCGGGCCGUUGGUGUAUUCAUUCUGGCGGUUCAAAUAGAAAUACUCUCUGAAGAGUUCAACAAUAGGUUCUUCUUGAAUAUAAACCUCACAGAGAACUUAAAAAUUGCAGAUGUUUGAUAUGGAAUUGGGUCCAAGGUCUUGUGGAUGAAGCUUUAAGAAGUGCAGUACAACUCUGAAGAAUUUUGAGCAGGGUGGUGAAAAACCCCGGUUCAUAUGAUCAGUAAAAAUGAUGACUUCGCCAUCCUUGGGCUGAUGUCUUUCUUCGACCGGGUCAGGAGCGCGGUAAGACAUAAUGUUCUUCUCCGGUAAAAAUCCAAUGGUAACGAAAUCCUUCAGAGUGGCGUCAGUGACUGGGAAGGGACCCAAUUGCAAACUGUCAUCGUCUUUUGGCGGCAUGGUGAGAAGACGAGCUAAAAAGGAAGUAAUUUGCCGGCUUAAAUUAAAUGGUGGAAUCACUGGUUAAUGUUUACAAUACAGAUGCGUAAUGGCGGCUUAAAUAAGGGCUAACGAUAUAUGAAGGAAAAAUGAGCUGGCAUGAUAAGCCGCCAUGACUAAAGAUAUUCAAAAGAGGCCAACGACAAAAAAUUGGCUAAGUACUGAGAUAAACAAGUUUCAGAGGCUGAUCCUACUAUUUUGGAUCAAGAUUGUUCAAAAAGGAGAAUAAAUCUAGACCUAAAAAACUAGUGCAGAGGAGUUCAUCAGUUCUAAGGAGGCCUUUGUGCAAGAAAAGGGGAUCUACUAGCAUCUGAAAUGGACGCAAAACAGCUACCACAUGAGUUCCAUACUUCUUUUAGAUCAAAAGGGGAUGCGGUAGAGAAACUACGAAGAAACCGUGAUGAACAGCGAAGAACAAGGAAGAACUUGCAAACCCUAAUGCGGAUCUAAGGUGCGGAAAGGGAAAAACUUACGGACGCAGUUCUAGUAUGGAGGGUUGCCGCCGUUCUCGGGACAAGCUCAGGUUGAUGUAGCGGCCAAGGUUGAGGACGAUGAUGAGCACUGCAGCGGCGGCGGAGCUCGAGCGAUAGAGGGGUUGCAAGAGAAGGAAGAAGAAGAAUGAGGAAGACCAGCCAUGCCUAUUUAUAAGGAGAUAGGUGAACAGGCAGGCGCGAAAAACGAGGAAGGCUAAAAUGAUCAUUAUCCAGCUAAUUAUACGCCUCGAUUUUCAGAAGGCAUUUAAGAUAAAGAUCCGUUAAGAUGACGUCGUGGCGGGUUUCCAAAUUUUCUGAAGGUGACGUCAUGGCGGUUUAUAAAGCUUUUACAAGCAGUGGAAGAUUAUUUUCUUCUAAGCGUUGAAGAUUGACAUGAGCAAAGUUCAAAUCAACCUGGGGCCUAAUGUUGGGGAUAUGACUACCAGAUAUGACCCGCCCAGGAGGGGCCGGGUCAACCACAAUGGUGGGUUACUUAAGUGAACCCGAAGAGUAUACAAGGUGAUGGUUUAUGAUAAGGCUUAUAAUAGGCCCAAGCCCAGAGGCGGCUUAAGGCCCAUACAUAUAAACUGCCAUGUAUGAAUAAGACUUGUAAAGUAAGGCAUGUAAGAGUUGUCACCGAGCCGGACACGUUGUAUGAGCUGGCCGGGACUCUAUAGGUCGAAGGGCAUCAACCUGUGUAUAUAAGGGGACGACCCGACGGCGGCUUAGGGCAAGAAACAAUAGAUCGAGAGCCAAGCUAGCGUAUUUCGCUCCUUGGUCAUCGAAACCUAGCAAUACCACAUCAACUGGAGUAGGCUUUACCUUCACCGCAAGGGGCCGAACCACUAUAAACCUCUCGUGUCCUUUGUCCUGAUUAACCCCUUUAAGCUUCCUAGUUGCGAUGGCUCCACAACUAAGUCCUUUCACUAGGACAUCUGCCGUGACAAUUCCACGACAAGAAGGGUCUACCAAAUAUAAUGGGACACAAAUUAUCUUGUGGGGAAGCAAGAACAAGAAAAUCAGUAGGAUAUUUUAUCUUCCCACACAAGACUUCAACAUCUCUAACAAUCCCAAUUGGUGAUAUAGUAUCCCUAUUAGCAAGCUUAAUAGUAACAUCAAUAUCUUAUAUCUCAGCAGGUGCAGUAUCAUUCAUAAUUUAUUUAUAUAAGGUAUAAGGAAUUGCACUCACACCAGCACCCAGAUCACAUAAGCUAUGAUAACAAUGAUCUCCUAUUUUAACAGAAACAACAUGCAUGCCAACAACAGGUCUAUGUUUAUCUUUAAUAUCAUGUUUAGCAAUCCUAGCAGCUUCAUCACAGAAAUAAAUAACAUGCCCAUCAAUAUUAUCAACCAAGAGAUCUUUAACCAUAGCAAUACUAGGUUCGACUUUAAUUUGCUCAAAGGGUUUGGGUGUUCUAAUAUUACUUUUGUUGACCACAGUUGAAUCUUUAGCAUGAUCCUUUAUUCUAACAGGGAAUGGUGGUUUCUCAAUAUAAGCAGUAGGAACAAUAGGAUCAACAUUAUAAGUAAUAGUUUCUUCUUCAACUUUAAUGGGUUCAACUACUUUAAUUUCAAUGGGAGGAUGAUAUUUGAACCACUUAUCCUUGGGGAGAUCAACAUGAGUAGCAAAUGAUUCACAGAAAUAAGCUACUAUCUCAGAGUCAAGUCCAUAUUUAGUGCUAAGAUCAUGAAAAGCAUCAGUAUCCAUAAAAGAUUUAACACAAUCAAACUUAAGGUUUAUACCUGACUCUUUACCAUUGUUGAGUUCCCAAUCUUCAGAGUUGCGUUUAUUAUUUCCAAUAAAUCCUAUUUGAAUUCAAUAUCAUUCUUCAUAUAGGAACCAGUACAAGAAGUAUCAAGCAUGGAUCGAUCAUUAGGAGAAAGCCGAGCAUAAAAUUUUUGAAUAAUAAUUUCUCUUGAGAGAUCAUGAUUGGGGCAUGAAUAUAACAUUGACUUAAGCCUCCCCCAAGCUUGAGCGAUACUUUCUCCUUCACGAGGCCAAAAAUUAUAUAUAUAAUUCCGAUCAUGAUGAACCAAAUGCAUAGGAUAAAACUUUUGAUGAAAUUCCUAUUUCAAUCGGUUGUAGUUCCAUGAUACAAUAUCAUCCAAUAGCAUAUACCAUGUCAAUGCCUUUACCUUCAAAGAUAAAGGGAAGACCUUCUUCUUGACAACAUCCUCGGGCAUACCUGGAAGCUUAAAUAAUCCACAAACUUCAUCCACAUAGAUUAGGUGCAUAUCAGGAUGUAAUGUUCCAUCUCCUGCAUAAGGAUUAGCUAGCAGUUUCUCUAUCAUACCCGAAGGAAUUUCAUAAUAAAUAUUUUCAGUAGGUGAAGUAGGUUGAGGAGCAACUCUUUGCUCUUUCGGUCGAGGUGAAGAUACCCGGACCAAGCCCCUCAAAGGAUUAUUCUCCAUAGUAACAAGUGACAGUAAAUAUUAGCACACUAUAUAAAUGUUUCCUUACCAAAUUCCACUUACCAAAGGCGCUUCACUCCCCGGCAACGACGCCAGAAAAGAGUCGUGAUGACCCACAAGUAUAGGGGAUCUAUCGUAGUCCUUUCGAUAAGUAAGAGUGUACAACCCAAUGAGGAGCAGAAGGAAAUGAUAAGUGGUUUUCAGCAAGGUAUUCUCUGCAAGCACUGAAAUUAUCGGUAACAGAUAGUUUUAUGAUAAGGCAAAUCGUAUCGGGUAACAAGUAAAUAAAGUAACUAAGGGGCUGAUGCCUUCCCACCCACCCAGGUUCAAGGCAUGGUACUUGCAAUUUGGAUUUGUUACACCAAUUAUACUGUAGGGGGUUCCCUUACAGUCUUUCUGUCAAAAAAAGAACAGGGGAGUAUUAAUUAUCAUUAAGGAUCUGAAAAUAUAAUCUUCCACCGGAUAAACAAACCAACAUCAACUACAAGGGGUAAUCAACACUACUAGCAACACAUAGGUACCAAUAUGAGGUUUUGGGACCAAGAUCGAAUACAAGAGAUGAACUCGGGUUUGAGAGGAGAUGGUGCUGGUGAAGUGGUUGAUGGAGAUCGACCCCCUCUCGAUGAGAGGAUCAAUGGUGAUGAUGAUAGCGAUGAUUUCCCCCUCCCGGAGGGAUGUUUCCCCAGCAGAACAGCUCCGCCAGAGCCCUAGAUUUGUUCUGCCCAGUUUCCGCCUCGAGACAACGACGCUUCGUCCCGAAAGCUUCCUUCUAUUUUUUCCAGGUCAAAACACACCAUAUAGCCAAAGAUGGGCACCGAAGGCCUACUAGGGGGCCUACAAGGUCGGGGGCGAGCCCAGGGGGGUAGGGCGCACCCUCCACCCUUGUGGCUAGCUGGUGCCCCCCCUCUGGUACUUUCUUUGCCCAAUAUUUUUUAUAUAUUCCAAAAACAUGCUCCUUGAAGUUUCAGGACUUUUGGAGUUGUGCAGAAUAGGUCUCUAAUAUUUGCUCCUUUUCUAGUAUAAAAUUCCAACUGCCGGCAUUCUCCCUCUUCAUGUAAACCUUAUAAAAUAAGAGAGAAAAGGCAUAAGUAUUGUGAUAUAACAUGUAAUAACAGCCCAUAAUGCAAUAAAUAUCAAUAUAAAAGCAUGAUGCAAAAUGGAUGUAUCAUAUGCAUCUGAAUACUGGCACUGUCCAGGGACCUACCUAUAAUUGUGAUGGGCCCCAUGUGGGUCCCAAAUGAUGGGUCCUUGACCGUACCUCACUACAAAAAAAGACACAUCCAUGACAUUUUGGGCCAAACGGAUUUUUUUCUGUCAUGCUUAUGACACUUCUAUGACGAUAAUUGUGACAAAACUCAGUAUCAUCAUAGAUGUGGUGGGCUCCUACUUCUAUGACAAAAAAUCAUGACAUAAAAUGGGCUUUUCAUCCUGGGUGGGCCAGAGAUGCAGCUGCAUGACAUUCGUUGGGCCGUCCAUGACGGAAAAAACCGUGGUAGAAGCGAGGGCGAGGAAAAUAUCAAGGAGUUCCCGGUUACGGUGGGUGGUCGGGGGCCGAGUGAUGCACGUUUCUCUCAUACACGUACGCGCGUGGGUGCGAGGCGUUGGACUCUAACUAAACCCGAGCGAGGCGUUCGCCUACCGAACCUAAGCGAUUGCACUGCAGGCUACGCGUUAUUGAACCCGAGCGAUCGAUCGAUUGCUGUUAACUAAACCCGAUCGAGCGAUUCCUUCGCUACCACUUCUAACUGAAGUCGAUCGNNNNNNNNNNNNNNNNNNNNNNNNNNNNNNNNNNNNNNNNNNNNNNNNNNNNNNNNNNNNNNNNNNNNNNNNNNNNNNNNNNNNNNNNNNNNNNNNNNNNNNNNNNNNNNNNNNNNNNNNNNNNNNNNNNNNNNNNNNNNNNNNNNNNNNNNNNNNNNNNNNNNNNNNNNNNNNNNNNNNNNNNNNNNNNNAUGAACAGGACCCCGUGGUAGUAGAGGUCGUUGCCGCUGGAUGAACCCCGAUCGAGCCGGUUGGGGGUGGAUGAAUAGGACGCCGUCGAGGGCUGGAUGAACAGGACCCCGUGGAGGGCUGGUUGAACAGUAGCCGACGGAGGGCUGGAUGAACAGUAGCCCGUGGAGGGGUGGUUGAACAGGACCCCGUGGAGAGGGCUGGUUGAAUAGUAGCCGGUGGAGGAGCGGUGGAGGCUGGAGGAGGUCGACGGUGGAUGAAAAGUAACCCGUUGAGGCUGGAGUAGGUCGAUGGUAGAGAUGAACAAUAUCUCAUGGAGUUCCGUUUUGCGGUGCGCCACACCCCUCCCGAUGAACAGGACCCCAGUUUCGACCAUAGCGCUCCAACACAAGUCCGUUUCCUCCGUUUUGUGGUAUGCCACACCCCUCCUGACCAACAGGACCCCGUUUCGACCGUAGGAGGUCCAAGAGAAGUUCGUUUCCUCCAUUUUGCGAUACACCAGACCCCUCCUGAUGAACAUGAUCCCGUUUCGACCAUGGCCGGUCGAACACAAGGUCAUUUCCUCCGUUUUGCAGUACGCCAUGCCUCGUUUUGAUUGGCUGUUCUGUCCAAGCCGGUUGGCUCCCAUUGAACACGACGUAUUCCAUUGCCUCCUGAUGAACACGACGCAUUCUGUUGCCUCCCCAUGAACACGACGACGACGUAGUUUCUUCCUUCCGACCUAGCCAUGUACACGAGCCUUGGCCAUACAUAUGCGCGAGUAGGCAUUCGAGACCCCGCCCGUAUGUACGUACAUGGCUGUAUUUACUGUCUUGCACCCUAGCCGUUGUACGUAUGUGUACAUGCUACAUGCACGCCUCUACUACAACACGUGCGCGCCUAUACUACAACAUGUGCCCUUCCUUACACGGCCACGGUUCAUGGCUGCAGCCUGCACACAGACCGAUCGACCAGUAUGUACGUACAUGUUCGCGACCAGAAUGAUAACGCAACAUACACUUUGACCAGGUGGGUCCUGACUGUGAGGCACUUCCUUCCGUGCGAAGAUGUAGCUGGUGGGUCCCAACAGCCAAGGGGGAAACAUUUUUUUCGCGAAAUACGGUGGCCCAUCCGGUGGGUCCCUACUGUCAGGUGGAGGAAUAAUUAUUUUGUGCGUAAUAAGGAUGCACUUCCUUGCUGCUACCAUGGACCCAACUGUCAGCCUCUCCACGUAUAGUACUCUUCCGAUGGAAGUCGUUCCUUGACCAUGUUGACCAUGCCACGCCGAGAGCACUAGGGCGGUGGACGACGGUGAGGCCUAGGAAGGGGAUGGCACGGAACCGGGGAAGACAUGGAAGUGGAUUCCCACACGGAGGGGGGGUACCUGGGUUGACUGCUUCGGCUACGGUGUGAGGCUGCCGUCGCCGGAGAAUAACAUGAGGUGUGGAUGAGUAUAGAGGGAUGGCAUGGCCAGCGGUGGCAGCACAACUGGACACAAGAGGCAGGAGUAGGUGGCAUGGCCGACGCUGGUUUGGGCGGCUGGAGCAAGAAGACCAGAGGUUGAAGAAGCAUGACGGCCGUUGGAUGGACAUCGUAUGGUCACUGCAUCUAGAAUCGUUUAUAUUGACUAAGUUGACAAAGCCCUUGGUACGCGUCAACUUUGUAGGACCACAGGCCAGCCUCCGAAACGGUGCACCCCAGAUGUCAGGGGGAGGAAUCAUUUUUUGGGCGGCAGAAGCUAGAAUAUCCGAGAUUGAAGAAGAAGCACGACAUCCAUUGGAUGGACAUCCAACGGCCACUGCUGCUAGAACCCUGUGUUGACUAUAAGUUGAGAAAGCCUUGCAUAGGCGUCAACUUACUUUUUUGGGGAUGCGUCAUCUUAGUAGGCCCACAAUUGAGUGGCAGAGAACUUCUAGACCAUUUGCAAUUUGUAAGAAUGUACAACCCAUUUUGAAUUCUAAUGGAAUUUACUACAACCCAUUUACAGUUUGUUAAAAGUUGUGACGCCCCGAGACCGUUGCGCUAGGUGUCUUCUAGUUAUUCGCCGUCGUUGCCAUAUCAUUCACUUGUGUGUUGCAUCUUGUCAUGUCAUCAUGUGCAUUGCAUCAUCAUGUUUUCAAAACUUGCAUCCGUCCGGGUUCCCCCAGUUCCGUCCGUUGUCCGUUCUGAGCCCAGACACACUUGCACGCGCCCGCGGCACGUCCGAAAUAGUAUUUUAUAAGUGGCCGGAAAAUGGUCUAGGAAUGGGUUGAAAGUUGGCGUGCGGUGUAGUUUUGUUGUCAGUAGGUCGCUUGCCAAGUGUCAUCGCAUUCGGAGUUCGUUUGAUGUCCCAACGGAUAACUAUAGCGACAAUAUAGUCGGUCAAAUCGUCGGACGUUUUUGGUCUCUGGAAACAGUCGCCGGGUCUCUCUCUGUUCUCUUCUCUCAGCCCAACCCGCUCUCCACAGCCCACUUCCACUCACCUGCAGCUCACCUACUCCAUCCUCGCGACCGGAGCCAUCAGAUCGCGAUCGGAGGGUCCGAAACCCCCCCUAAAUCCCCUAACCCUAGCUCUUUUGGCUAUAUAUGGACACCCAAUGCCCUGAGCCGCCACCUCCCACCUCGUUUUCAAUGCCAGCCGCCCCUUCUCCGCCACUUGUCGCCGCCACAGCUGGUCGCGCCGCCACCAGACCACGCUCCCCUCCAAUCAUGCGCCUCCAAGUCGCCCCUGGCCUCCCCGCGCCGCCGCAGCCCACGCGAGGCCCGCGAAACCCAGAUCGGGGCCCGCCUAGGCCGGAUCUAGGCCCGAGUGCCCCGCACGCACCAUCCGCUCGCCCCACUGCUCCCGAGUUUCCCCCACUCGACCCCGCCGCAGCAGCUCCGACGAGCUCCUCCGUCGACCAGUCGCCGCCGGUGAGCGUAGCCACCGGAGCCCCAGGCCAGAUCCGCCCCGCGACCUCUCCUCCUUCAGUUUUCCCUCUCCGUGUCUCUCAUGGUGGCUCCUCUCUCCCUACUUAGGAAUGCCAGGUUUGCGUGAAGCUUCGCGCCCGCGCCGCUGGAGCUCCACCGCGCCAGAGUCGCCUCCCACCACCGGGAAUGGAUCCGCCCCGCUCGGAUCUGUUCGGAUCCGGCCAACCUCGCUGCCUCCCGCCGCCCACCUUCUGCGCCUCUCGCGAUGGCGCCGCCAUGGCCUCCCUGUUCAUGCGGGCAAACGAGGAGGAUGAACGGAUCCGCGUUUAUUCGGGUGGGCCCUGCGUCGGUCGGCCCAUCUGCAGCUUGUUGUGGCCCAGAACCACCCCUGUUUUGGUCCAGCCGGCCUGAAGGCCCAAAGUGAGUAGCUCCCUCCAGCCACUCUCCUGAACUCUGUUGGCCCAUUCAGUUUCGGCCCAUUACGUUUUUUUUCAGUUCUGGGGUUUUUUCCUAUUUAUCCAGAGAUGUCAGUUUUAUAGAAAAGACCCUCAUGUUCAUACAUUUAAUAUCUCACAAAUGAUGCAUCACAUGUAAAAACUUUAUAUACGAAAUAUGACUAGAAUUUCAUAUAGUUUAAUAAUAUCCAACUUUCAAUCAUGUUUGACAUGUUGAAAAUGAUGUUUGCUUUAAUUUGCUUAAAUAACAUGCUAAAAUGAUUUAAUUCGUAACUAAUUAACCGUAGCUCAGAUUUAAAUAAUGUUUAUAUGUAAAUGGGGUUGAAAAUUGCCUAGUUUAACAUGGUGGCAUUGCUUUGCAUGUUUAACAACUCCAAAAUAUGCUUUAGGGCAGAACAGUACCAAAUCUAAUAUAUGCUCAUGAGGAUUUCUCCGGACUUGUUGUUUGUUGUUCCGGCCUCAUUUAAACUUGCCUAGAUAGGUAGUUUUCAUUUGCUUCACCUCUUGCCAUGUUAAUCAACGUUUAAUAUUGUUGGGUACUUAAAUGAGAGAGAACUAAAUAUUUGAUGUGGUGUUUCGUCAAUAUGCAACUCGUUGCAUAUUGAGCUCCACUUAAUUUGUAGAAUUGCUUGUGCACUUUGCCAUGCCAUGCCUCAUUAAACCGGACAUGGAUCAUACUUGGUUGUGCAUCAUGCCAUGAUUAUGUGAUGGUUGAUUAUCAUGUUGUUUUCUUCUUUCCGGUGUGCUUCUUCGGGUUGGUUCCGUUAACGUCACGUUUGUGAGGAUUUGUUCGACUUCGUCCGUUUGUCUUCUUCAUGGACUCGUUCUUAUUCCUCGGGGGAUCUCAGGCAAGAUGACCAUACCCUCGAAAUCACUUCUAUCUUUGCUUGCUAGUUGCUCGCUCUUUUGCUAUGCCGCGUGUAACACCCACGAUGCGGCUAUAUCUCCCACGUGUCAGAGCGCGACUUAGCGGCAUAACCGCAUUGUAGGCAUGUCACAAGAGGGGGUAAUCUUUACACACCCCAUGUACUGAAUAAGAAAGAGGUACGGAGUUGGCUUACAAACGCCACUUCACACAAUACAUAAAUAUAGCAUUACAUCAUCCAGAUACAAUCAAGGUCCGACUACGGAACCAAAAUAAAGACAACCCCAAAUGCGAAAGAUCCCCUAUCGCCCCAACUGGGCUCCACUACUGAUCGUCUGGAAAAGAAACGUAGUAACGUCCUGAGUCCUCAUCGAACUCCCACUUGAGUUCAGUCGCAUCCCCUGGAACGGUAUCAUCAGCACCUGCAUCUGGUUUUGGAAGUAAACUGUGAGUCACGGGGACUCAACAAUCUCACAACCUCGUGGUCAAGACUAUUUAAGCUUAUGGGUAGGCAAAGCUAGUGAGGUGGAGCUGCAGCAAGCACUAGCAUAUAUGGUGGCUAACAUACGCAAUUGAGAGCAAGAAGAAAAGGCAAAGCACGGUCGAGAAUCUAUGAUCAAGAAGUGAUCCUAGAACUACUUAUGUUCAAGCAUAACACGAGACCGUGUUCUCUUCCCGAACUCCACCGAAAAGAGACCAUCACAGCUACACACGCUGUUGAUUCAUUUUAAAAUAAGUUAAGUUUCAAGUUUUCUACAACCGGACAUUAACAAAUUCCCAUAUGCCCAUAACCGCGGGCACGACUUUCGAAAGUUCAAAACCCUGCAGGGGUGUCCCAACAUAGCCCAUCCCAAGCUCUCACGGUCAAUGAAGGAUAUUCCUUCUCCCAGGAUGGCCCGAUCAGACUCGGAAUCCCGGUCACAAGACAUCUCGACAAUGGUAAAACAAGACCAGCAAAGCCACCCGAAUGUGCCAACAAAUCCCGAUAGGAGCUGCACAUAUCUCGUUCUCAGGGCACACCAGAUUGUCCAAGAUUUCGGUAGGCCAACCCAGAGUUGCCCCAGGGGGCCACCGAUUGCUGACAGGUUGGACCAACACUCAGAGGAGCACUGGCCCGGGGUUUAAAAAAAAGAUGACCCUUGAGUCCGCGGAACCCAAGGGAAAAAGGCUUAGGUGGCAAAUGGUAAAACCAAUGUUGGGCCUUGCUAGAGGAGCUUUAUUCAAGGCGAACUAUCAUGGGGUUCCCAUUAUAACCCAACCGUGUAAGGAACGCACAAUCAAGGAACAUAACACCGGUAUGAUGGAAACUAGGGCGGAAAGAGUGGAACAAAACACCAGGCAUAAGGCCGAGCCUUCCACCCUUUACCAAAUAUAUAGGUGCAUUAAAGUAGACAAGAUUUAAUAGUGAUAUCCCAACAAUAAACAUGUUCCAACAAGGAACAAACUCCAAUCUUCAACUGCAACUAGCAACGUUAUAAGAGGGGCUGAGCAAAGCGAUAACAUAGCCAAACAACAGUUUGCUAGGACAAGGUGGGUUAGAGGUUUGACAUGGCAAUAUGGGAGGCAUGAUAAAGCAUGUGGUAGGUAUCGCGGCAUAGGCAUAGCAAAAGAGCGAGCAACUAGCAAGAAAAGAUAGAAGUGAUUUCGAGGGUAUGGUCAUCUUGCGUGCAAAGUUCUCCGAGUUGACGUCGUAGGCGUACUCAACGGGUUCCUCGAUCACGUACUCAUCUCCCGGCUCUACCCAAGGCAAGAACACAAGCAAGGGAACCACAAUCAACCAUGGUGCAAUGCGCAAGAAACAUGAUGUAAAACAUGGCAUGAUAUGUGGGAUGUGAUAUGCAAUGCAUAUGCAUGCUCCGGAAGGAAAAUAUUGAACCAGGCCUCAACAUGGCAAACCAAGUGCGCUGCUAGAAAGAUGAGUUGAUUUCGGUCGAAAUCGAUAUAAAGAUCACCGGAAUCGGAUGCACGGUUUGCAAAUGGCAAGCAAAACAAUAAUGGCACUAUUCUGCGAUUAACAGCACGAUGCCAUCUAAAAUGCAACAAGAAAGUAAGCUACCGCACUCUAACAUAGCAACAAAGCACAUGAAAGUGAUCUACUCAAGAUGCUUGACAAAAUAUGAACACUGAGCUAUGGCUAAAACACACAAUAGCAGGUUCAAACAAGCAUGGCAAAGUGCAAAAGAUAUCAGGUUCACAGACUUAGUCUAAAUAACAACAUGCCAGGAAUUAACAUCAGGAAGGAAUGUUUAGAGCAAGUUAUCAACAUGCUACAGGAUCAUAUGAUGGCAAAGCAAGGUAUGGCAUGAAACUACUCAAAUCAUAUAACAAAAGUCCCUUACUGACCAUAAGCCAAAAGGGAUCAGAAAAUAUGAUGGCACCCAUGUGAACAUAGCAAGUUUCGUUAACAGAUCCAGACUUAGCAGAAAACUGGACAUGGCAAAAAUAGAGUCACGUAGGCAUGUUUGCGAGCUCGAUGCACUCACCACAAGGCAUUACAUGACAAACUAAUCAUACACCCAGCAAGAAGAGAUGUUCAAGAAGCUAACCAUGGCAAGAACAAUCUCAUAGAAUGCAUGGAUCAACUACAACAACCUCGGCAAAAUUGAUUAAAACGUAAACAAUCUGCCAGGAACAUUUUAUAGCAAAAGUAGAGCAAGAUUGAGUCAUGCUAGGGUACUCUAUAAUUGCAAACAUAGACAUGGAUGGAUAGAACAUAACAAUAUCUCAAAAUCAUCCUUACUGAACAAGCUUAAAAGAGGCAUGGAUCACUCUGUAGCAACAUGAAUACAUAGCAUAAAAAUAACAUCAGGGAAAUGACUUAGAAGAAUUCUAAGUCCCUGAAAUCAGCAACAUCACGAGAGCUACUUUGCAUGCUUGUGCUAGUCACCACAUUGAUCACAAAAAUACAUGGCAUACACCCCUGUAAAGAUGGCAUGGCAUAGCCCAAAACACCUAUAGGGGUCAAGUUCAUAGGAGGCACACAAUAAUCAUGGAAAAAAAGACAAAUGCUCAUAAUCUGAUAAGAAUUAGGAUCUAACAUUUUAUAGAACUCUUGCAACAGCAUUUUAGGCAUCAAGAUGGACUCAAACAAGCAUGGUGCAAUGGAAUGAAAAGAAGAGGACAACCAGAUGAACAUUUUGAUAUAUGGCAUGCACAAAACGGAGCUACGGAUGCGGAGUUAUGAUGCCAUGAACAGGGCUCUAGAAUGUGUGAAUUUAAGGACUUAGACAAAAAAAAUCACCUCCAAUCUUCACCUGCAACUAGCAACGCUAUAGGAGGGGCUGAGCAAAGCGGUAACAUAGCCAAACAACGGUUUGCUAGGACAAGGUGGGUUGGAGGUUUGACAUGGCAAUAUGGGAGGCAUGAUAAAGCAUGUGGUAGGUAUGGCAUCAUAGGCAUAGCAAUAGAGCGAGCAACUAGCAAGCAAAGAUAGAAGUGAUUUCGAGCGUAUGGUCAUCUUGCCUGCAAAGUUCUCUGAGUUGACGCAAGCUUGAUCCUCGUAAGCAUACUCAACGGGUUCCUCGAUCACGUACUUGUCUCCCGUCUCUACCCAAAGAAAUAACACAAGCAAGGGAAACACAAUCAACCGCGGUGCAAUGCGCAAGCAACAUGAUGCAAAACAUGGCAUGCUAUGUGGGAUAUGAUAUGCAAUGCAUAUGCAUGCUCUGAAGGAAAAGUUUGAACCAGGCCUCAACUUGGCAAACCAAGAGCGCCGCUGGAAGAUGAGUUGAUUUUGGUUGAAAUCGAUAUAAAGAUCGCCGGAAUCAGAUGCAUGGUUUGCAACUGGCAAGCAAAACAAUAAUGGCACUAUUUUGCGAUUAACAACACGAUGCCAUCUAAAAUGCAACAAGAAACUAAGGUACUGCACUCUAACAUAACAACAAAGCACAUGGCAGUGAUCCACUCAAGAUGCUUGACAAAAGAUGAACACUAAGCUACGGCUAAAUCACAAAAUAGCAGGUUCAAACAAGCAUGGCAAAAGUGCAAAAGAUAUCAGGUUCACAGACUUAGUGAAAAUAACAACAUGUCAGGAUUUAACAUCAGGAAGCAAUGUUUAGAGCAAGAUAACAACAUGCUGCAGGAUCAGAUCAUAGCAACACAAGGCAUGGCAUGAAACUACUCAAAGCAUAUAACAUAAGUCCCUUACUGACCAUAAGCCAAAAGGGAUCAGAAGAUAUGAUGGCACCCAUGUAAACAUAGCAAGUUUCGUUAACAGAUUCAGACUUAGCAGAAAACUGGACAUGGCAAAAACAGAGUUACGUAGGUAUGUUGGCGAGCUUGAUGCACUCACCACAAGGCAUUGCAUGACAAAAUAAGCAUACUCCCAGCAAGAAGACAUGAUCAAGAAUCUAAACAUGGCAAGAACAAUCUCAUAGCAUGCAUGGAUCAACUACAACAACCUUGGCAAAAUUGAUUAACACAUAAACAAUCUGCCAGGAACAUUUUAUAGCAAAAGUAGAGCAAGAUUGAGUCAUCCUAUGGUACUCCAUAAUUGCAAAAAAGACAUGGAUGGAUAGAACAUAACAACAUCUCAAAAUCAUCCUUACUGAACAUGCUCAAAAGAGGCAUGGAUCACUCUGUAGCAACAUGAAUGCAUGUCAUAAAAAUAACAUCAGGGAAAUGACUUAGAAGAAUUCGAAUUCCCUGAAAUCAGCAACAUCACGAGAGCUAAUUUGCAUGCUUGUGCUAGUUAUCACAUUGAUCACAAAAAUAUAUGGCAUACACCCCUGUAAAGAUGGCAUGGCAUAGCCCAAAACACAUGUAGGGCCCAAGUUCAUAGGAGGCACACAAUAAUCAUGGCAAAAAUGACAAAUGUCCAUAAUCUGUUAAGAAACAGAAACUAACAUUAUGAAGCACUCUUGCGACAGCAGUUUAGGCAUCAAGAUGGACUCAAACAAGCAUGGUGCAAUGGAACAAAGUGAAGAGCACAUCCAGACGAACAAUUUUGAUAUAUCAUACACAUGAAACGGAGCUACGGUCAUGGAGAUAAGGCAUGAUGAACAGAGCAACAUAAUACAAAAGUUUCAGGACUUAGAGAAAUUCAACCUCUGGGAAAAAGUCAACGGGGCACGAGAACCAAGGCUUGCCGGCGCGGGGCUCGCCGGAGAUGGCGGAUCCGGGCCGGAUCUCGCUAGAUCCGGCCGGAUCGCAGCGCGGGGAGGCGGAGGAGGUCGCCGCGGGCGUGGGGUGAGGCUGGGUGCUCGGGGCGGAGGGCGGCGGCGGCCGGUGGCGAUGAGGACGGGCGGCGCUCGGGCUCACCGGGGUGCGGAGCGGCGGGCGGCGGGGUACCAGGCCGCGGGGGCCGCGGCUGGGCCCGGCGGGCUUCGGUGAUGUGGGCGUGGAGGCGCCACGUGGCGGCCCCUGGUAGGCCGUGGGUGGCGGCGCGUUUCGUCCGGCGUCGCCCGGACUUUUCUGGCGACACGGAGGGGAAAUUUUAGGGUUAGGGUUGGAGUUGCCUUAGAUUUGGACGGGGAAGACUAAUUUAUAGGUAGAGGGAGCUAGGAGACUCCAAAUGGAGUGCGGUUUUCGGCCACGCGAUCGUGAUCGAAUGGCCGAGAUAAUGGAGGGGGUUUGGAUAGGUUUUGGGCCACUUUGGAGGGGUGUUGGGCUGCAACACACCCGAGGCCUUUACGGUUCCUUGGUUAACCGUUGGAGUAUCAAACGAACUCCAAAUGGUAUGAAACUUGACAGGUGGUCUACCAGUAGCAUACCAAGGCUGCUUGGCAAAUCUCAGUCCAAUCAGAGAAUGUUUAACACCCGCACAAAAAGAAGCAAAAGGGGUCGCCGGAGGACGUAGGAGUGCUAGAAUGCAAAACGGACAACGGGGAAAAUGCUCGGAUGCAUGAGACGAACACGUGUGCAAAUGCGAUGCACAUGAUGACAUGAUAUGAGAUGCAUGCCAUGGACAAAAAGCAAAAUGGAGACAAAACCCAACAACGAGGGAAAAUCAUAACUUAGUGCCAAAAAUGGCAAGAGUUGGAAUACAAAUAUGGCAAGUUACAUACGGGGCAUUACACCACGAUACCUACCACUUGCUAUAUCAUGCCUCCCAUAUUGCCAUGUCAAGCCUCUAACCCUCCUUUCCUAGCAAACCGUUGUUUGGCUAUGGUACCGCUUUGCUCAGCCCCUCUUAUAGCAUUGCUUGUUGCAGGUGAAGCUGAAGUUUGUUCCAUGUUUGGAACAUGGUUAUGUUGGGAUAUCACAAUAUCUCUUAUUUUUAAUUAAUGCAUCUAUAUACUUGGUCAAGGGUGGAAGCCUCGGCCUUAUGCCUGGUGUUUUGUUCCACUCUUGCCGCCCUAUUUUCCGUCAUACCGGUGUUAUGUUCCUUGAUUUUGCAUUCCUUACACGGUUGGGUGUUAUGGGGACCCCUAGACAGCUCAGUUUGAAUAAAACUCCUCCAGCAAGGCCCAACCUUGGUUUUACCAUUUGCCUCACCACCACCUACUUUUCCCUUGGGAGUCGCGCUCUUGAGGGUCAUCUUUAUUUUAAACCCCCGGGCCAGUGCUUCUCUAAGUGUUGGUCCGAACUGGAGUCCUUUGCACCACCACCUCGGGGAAACUUGAGGGCUGGUUUUAGUUGUAUGGAGCGCUCAUCCGUGUUGCCCUGAGAACGAGAUAUGUGUAGCUCCUAUCGGGCUGUCGGCACAUCGGGCAGUCUUGCUGGUCUUGUUUUACCAUUGUCCUAAUGUCUUGUAACCGAGAUUCCGAGUCUGAUCGGGUCUUCCUGGGAGAAGGAAUAUCCUUCGUUGACCGUGAGAGCUUGUGAUGGGCUAAGUUGGGGCACCCCUGCAGGGUUUGAACUUUCAAAAGUCGUGCUCGCAGUUAUGGGCAGAUGAGAAUUUGUUAAUAUCCAGUUGUAGAGAACUUGACACUUAACUUAAUUAAAAUGCAUCAACCGCGUUUGUAGCCGUGAUGGUCUCUUCCGGCGGAGUCCGAGAAGUGAACUAGGUUUUGGUGUUAUGCUUGAACGUAAGUAGUUUCAGGAUCACUUCUAGUUCACGACCGUGCUUUGCUUCUAUUCUCGCUCUUAUUUGCGUAUGUUAGCCACCAUAUAUGUUUAGUGCUUGCUGCAGCUCCACCUCACUACCUUCUCCUACGCAUAAGCUUAAAUAGUCUUGAUGUCGCGGGUGUGAGAUUGUUGAGUCCUCAUGGCUCACAGAUACUUCCAAACAGUUGCAGGUGCCGAUGAUAUAAGUGCAAGUGACACACCUGAGCUCAAGUGGGAGCUCGAUGAAGAUCUUGUUCAUUGUGUUGUUUCGUUUGCUGUUGAUCAGUAGUGGAGCCCAUUUGGGACGAUCGGGGAUCUAGCAUUUGGGGUUGUCUUUCUUUAUUUGGUUCCAUAGUCGGACCUUGAUUUUAUUGUGGAUGAUGUAAUGCUAUAUUUAUGUAUUGUGUGAAGUGGCGAUUGUAAGCCAACUCUUUAUCCCUUUCUUAUUCAGUACAUGGGAUGUGUAAAGAUUACCCCUCUUGCGACAUGCCUACUAUGCGGUUAUGCCUCUAAGUCGUGCUCCGACACAUUGGAGAUAUAGCCGCAUCAUGGGUGUUACAAGUUGGUAAUCAGAGCCUUCCCCGACUUAGGAGCCCCCUGCUUGAUCGAAUCGGCUGACGUUGUUGAGUCUAGAAGAAAAUGUUUUGAGUCUUAGGAUUAUAUAUAUCAGAGAGUAGGAUUCUUUUUACUCCUCAGUCCCUUCGUCACUCUGGUGAGGCCUCCUGACGUAGAAGUUUUGACUCUUCUCUCCUCAAAUUUCACUAAAAAAAAA
rnacentral:lncRNA from 1 species